GAAUAUUCAUUGACAGAUAAUAAAAAAAGGAAAACUCUAAUAUAAUAGAAAAUGAAAUGAAACGGUCGACCCAGACAUAGAAGGUUGACCCAGGCGGAUAUACGCUAUAAAAUAUAUACCGUAGCGAGCGUAGUUCAAUAGUAAAAUAUCUCCUUGCCAAGGAGAAGAUACGGGUUCGAUUCCCGCCGCUCGCCCGCUUAAUUUCUCAAAGUACUAUGAUAAAAAGUUUAGUCUAGUUAAUUGUUUAACUACUUAUAUUAAAUUAAGUAUUAAUUAGGUGUUAGUCUAGUGCCGUAUCCCUUACUAUGCUUACCCUUCCUUUGCAUCCCACUCAAGAGGGCGCUCCGGAGGCAGAAAUAGAACUCGCCAAGAGAGCUCCAAAAAUUGGGUAUUAACUGAGACAAACAACGGGCAAACUGUUUUUAAAGGGAAGGGAGAGGUAGACUGGUACAUAGUAGUCAGAAAGAGAGAGAGAAAAAUAGAGAGAGCAUGUGCGUGAGACACGUCGACACCUUGAGAGAGAUUGUGAGCAUGUGUGUAAGAGAAACGCCGAUGCAUAUAAAGUGUGUGCACUUAUGCGUUUGAUAGAGAGAUAUAUAACUCGUUUGUGAGAACGGGGCAAGGCAUAGUGCAUCGACGUGUAAAAGGAGGUUCUAUGCAUUAAAUUAUAAUAUAAAUGGCAUUAUUAUUUUUGGAUGAGAUCAUGAAUUUUGCAAAUUGCGUAUGGACGAAAAUUGGUUUAUCAGACACCCAUACUCUAUUUAAUUCUAGCAUGUUCAUGUGUUUAUUUCAUAUUAUCGAUCCAUAGAGUGAGAGCAGUUUGAAAUACAGGCAAUGGAUGCUUUUGCAAUUCAUAUACAAACAUUAAUUAGUGCACUCCAUGUUGUUUGUGUGAAGCAGUUUAUACAUUUUUCACUUGCAUGGAUACAUUCCAAAUUGCUAGCUAUGAAAUAGAAUACAUGUCGAAUUCAACAUAAAGGGGGUUUCAAAGAUUCGAAUUCAUAGGAAGUGCAUUCAUAUAUUUGAACCCGAGAUAAUGGCAUUUGUAAAUCAGAUGUAAAAGGGGGCCUCAAUCUUUGUUGUGAGUUUGAACAUGCUAUAUAUAUUCAUACGCAUAUCUAACUUCUUAUUUUUUGCAACCAAGGAGAUUAUAUUUGGAACCAUGCAUGAGCUAAGGUACGUUGCAUAUUUUUUAAUAUAUACUGGUGUACAAUGUAUAUUCAAAUGUACCCCCUCCAUUCCAAAAUAAUCGUAGCUUUAGGAUUUUCAAGAGUAAAGAUUUGUGAAGUUUGACAAAUCCUAAAAGUUAAAUUCAAGAGAACCGAAAACGUUAAUGCUUCUGCUCCCAAAUAUUGAACGAAGCGCCAACUAGGCCUAUGGUCACCCGGAACUACGCGAUACUAAUGUUUGGUGGUAGGAAAUUACUGUCCUGACUCUGGCCCGUGUAGCCUAUCGGCCCGAUGUCCAAAGGUCUAAACCGGGGUAGGUUUGUAACUUCACCAAGACGCCAAUCUCAACCGCCUUCGAGAAGCAUUCAUACGUCGUGGGCGCCUAAACACCCAUGUGCUCGGCCAAAAUCUAUCCCGCCCACAUUUGGGACACCUGACAUGACUGUCCUACCCCCAACCCGCAAUAUGUCCGUAAUUUUAGAUGGGGGCAAAGUUUGUAACUUUCCCCAAAUUUCAAACAAGCACCUCUCAAACCGAAACAUUGUUCCCCCUUAGUUCCCCGCCUCCCUCUGUUUCCCCAUUCAUACUCCAUGGGCGCGAAAACACCCUCUCCACAAGCCGCGAAACCCCAGCCUCCUCCCCAUAGCGGCCAAUCCACCGCCGCCCUCCUCCAUCACGCUGGAGCCGGUACCGUGACGUCAUCGUCCAACCCAACCGCAACCGCAACGCCCUCAAGGACUUAGCAGCUGAAGCCGAGGUAGAGCUGCCUCCACGACACCGACGCCGACGUGCGCCGUAGCAGAAUGACUCCGACCACGCCGUCCUGCACCCCACUGCUGCGGCUCCACUGUCGCAACCAUCCACGGCACCGGAGCUGUUCCGCUACGCCGUCGUUCACCACCUCAGAUCUGCUUCCCUGCCACCGACACACAGCCACUGCACCACACUCAACAACUUGGCCAUGGGUUCGUCCUAGGCUGCACCAUCCUCCACAACUUCUGGUUUCCGGCGAACAACAAGAAGAUCGUCAGAAAAACAGAAGGAGAACACGACACUGCCAGCAGAAAGAGGUACUCCUCUUCCCUUAUUCAUGCAAAUAUUACGCCUCCACUCACACCAUAUUCAUCCCACGAAAGAAACUAGUUGAGUGCUUCUUACUACAUCUUAUUCGUGAUACUAAAUGCACAAUGUUUCCUCCCUUUUACUAUUUCACCUUUCCUAGAGGUCAGUAGACUGCCUGGAUUUCAAUUCAGGGUCAGUCGAACCGCAAUUAAAAGAAGCAACAACCGCUUAGGCGCGCGGAGCACCUAGUCCGCUUGUUCCCCGGGGAAGCGGCGCAUCGGUGUCUAUCAUAGGGGUGUGGGGUGCAGGAGCUGCUUGCGCCCGAUCUGGAGGUCGGCGGGGCUUGAAUGGAUGGCCGGGGGGCGGUGCCAAGCAUGGCGGUGCGGUGUGGUCAAGGGGAGGGCGCAGGAAGGGGAGGAAUACUGGGUCGGUGGUCGCUGGCGUUUCGAGGAAGAUCGUCAACACUGACUGGCUGGAGGUAGAUGAAGGCGAUCUGCCCGUUCUUCGUACAUUGGACGGUGCAGAAAAAAUGGACUGACCUAUUUGCUUUCAGUCGACUGUUAUUUUCAUAGAAUCCUGUAGUAAUUUAGUGUGCCAUGCAUGUUAUAGAGCUAUCAUAUGUCUCCCGUCAUUUAUUUCCCACCGACCUGCUAUCUGCUACCUUUACACUGUACUAAUUGUGCGCACACUUCACCCAUACUCACACUAUUGUUUAUUAUUCAUGGGUUUUUCAGACUCUGACGCGGUGUUGAUUAGUGCAGAAAAGAAAAGACAGAAGUCACUAUAGUGUAAUUUGAAGAUAAGCACUAAGCAUUUCAGCGCUCUACUGGGUGCAGUGUAGCAGUUGGAGACAGUAAAUGUAGCUCUGGAGUUGAUGAUCUCAAUUGCUACACACAACCAUCCUAGGUGCUUGCUUUAACUUCGCGCUGUCAAAUGUGGUUGCAUGUUGCAUAUGGUGUCUAGCUUGUAUUGCUUCCAAUUUUGUUAAAUUGCAUCUGCUUACUUUACACAUUAUACCUUUCAUAAUGACAUGCCUUCCUAUUUUUGAUACAUACUACAUAUGUCUAUUAACCAUGUUCGUACAUCAAACUAAUGCUCUUUUGUAUCCCUCGUAAAUCACUUAUGAUGAGACAGUCACCCGGGUGGGUUACUGUGAGACGCCCUACUUGUUUAAAGAGUGCAGUGUCAUCCUCCCCACAUGAUUCUCAAGAAACAGCAAGGCUAAAUGAAUAUAGUCAACGUAGCUCUCUAGUUGAUCACCGCAAUUCCCCCACACCACCAUCGAGGUGCUUGCUCUUACUUGGCAGUGUGAUAUGUGGUUGCAUGUUGCAUAUGGUUUCUACCUUGUAAUGCUUCUAAUUAGGGUAAACUACAUCUGCUUAGUUAACACAUUAUACCUGUGAAAACGAUAUGCCUUCCUGUUUUUGGUACAUACUACGUCUUUCUAUUAAGCAUGUUCUUACAUCAAACUACCUUUCUUGUGUUUCCCUCAUCAAUGCUCCUAAUUUGUUCAAUUGCAUCUCCUUAGCUUACACAUUAUACAUGUGAAUAUGACACGCCUUCCUGUUUUUGGUACAUACUACAUCAUCCUAUCACACCAUGUUAUUACAUCAAACUACUGUUCUUGUGUAUCCUGCAUCUAUCGCUUAUGAUGAGACAGUCACGCGCGUGGGUUAAUAUGAGGCGCAAUAGUCUUAUAAAGAAUGCAAUUUCAUCCUCUCCAAAUGAUUCUCAAGAAACAACAAGCCUAAAUGAAGAUAUUGAAAGUAGCUCUGUACCUGAAGACCGCACUUCCCCUACACCACCAUCACAGGUGCUUGCUCUAACUUCGCAGUGUGAUAUGUGGUUGCAUGUUGCAUACGGUGUCUAGCUUGUAAUCCUUCUAAUUAGGGUAAAUUGCAUCUGCUUAGUUUACACACUAUAUAUGUGAAUAUGACAUGCCUUCCUAUUUUUGGUACACACUGCAUCUAUGUGUUAACCUAGUUCUUACAUGAAACUACCUUUCUUCUGUAUCUUUCAUCAAUCACUUACGAUGAGUCACCUUUAUUCAUUGCAUAUUGCAUAAUAUUUCUAGCCUGUUUCCAUGUAUUGCUUCUAAUUUGGUCAAAUACAUUUGUUAGGGCACCCUUUUAAUUUGGCAGAGUGAUAUUGGUUUCAUCUUUCAUAUGGUUUCUAUUUUGCAUCGAUUCUAACAAGUUCAAGCACCUUUUGCUUAGUUUACACUUUAUACAUCAUACAUGUCAAUAUGUCACGCCGUCCUGGUUUUCAUACAUAUUCCAUCCUCCUAUCAUGUGGCUGCCUUACAUGAAAGUAGUGUUCGUCAGUAUCAUGCAUCAAUGAGUUCUGAAGAGCAAAUUUUAUUCCUUUUUCUUGUGGGUUUGACUUGACAAGGCAAAAUCAAGAAAUAGGAAGGAAAAGUGUAAGGAAGGCGAUGAUGGUGGUCCUCUGCAGCAACGUAAGCGGAGCAUCUGUAUCGAUUCUCCUUGUACUGAUAGUGCAUUACAAGGUCCAAGUCUCCGCUCCCCUACUACACCAUCCAAGGUGCUUGCUCUAACUUGGGAGUGUGAUAUGUGGUUGCAUGUUGCAUAUGGUGUCUAGCUCGUAUUGCUCCUAAUUAGUGUAAACUGCAUCUGCUUAGCUUACACAUGAUACAUGUGAACAUGACACGCUUUCCUAUUUUUGGUACAUACUAUAUCUGUCUAUCACAAUAUGUUCUUACAUGAAACUACUCUUCUUGUGUAUCCUGCAUCAGUCACUGAUGAUGGGAGACCUUUAAGUUGGCAGUGUGAUAUUGGUUUGCGUCUUGAAUAUGAUAUCUAGCAUGUAUUGCUUCUAGUUUGAUGAACGCCACCUAUGACGAGACAGUUUUAACUUGGCAGAGUGAUAUUGAUUGCACCUUCCAUAUGGUGUAUUGCAAUGUUUCUAAUUUGUUGACGUGCCUUCUACUUAGUUACCACAUCAUAGGUGUGAAUAUGUCAAGCCGUCCAUUUUUUCGUACAUAUUCCAUCCUCGUAUCAUGACUUUGCCUUUCAUCAGAGUAGUGUUUGUCAGUAUCAUGCAUGAAUGAGUUCUGAAGAGCGAAUGAUAUUCCUUUUUCUUGACGGUAUGACCUCACAAUGCAAAAUCAAUAAAGCUGAAGGAAAUUGGCAAGGCAUUGGAUGAUGGUGGUCCUUCCGAGCAACUGAAACGGAUGUUCUCUACAGACUCUACUCCACCAUCCUCCCAACAAGAUUCGCAAGACAAUGCAAGGCUAGACAGUCAACGUAGCUGUGUAGAUGAUGAGCACAUCUCCCCUACUCCACCAUCAUAGAUGCUUGCUCUAACUUGGCACUAUUAUAUGUGGUUACAUGUUGCGUAUGAUGUCUAGCUUCUAUUGCUUCUAACUUGAAUUGCAUCUGCUUACUUUACACAUAAUGCAUGUGAAUAUGACACGUGUUCCAAUUUCUAGAACAUACGUGUACAUGAUGAGCACAUCUCUCCUACUCCACCAUCACAGGUGCUUUCUCUUACUUGGAACUGUUAUAUGUGGUUGCGUUUUCCGUAUGAUGUCUAGUUUGUAUUGUUUCUGAUUAUGUUGAAUUGCAUCUGCGUAGCUUACAACUUAUACCUGCAACGAUCACUUACCCAUAAGACACAUUUAACUUGGGACUGUGAUGUAGGUUGCAUCUUGCAUUGUCUUCUAGCUUGUACUGCUUCUAAUUUCUUGAAAUCGCACUUACGAUGAGACACUUUUUACCUGAUAGAGAGAUAUUGGUUGCAUGUUCAUAUGGUGCCUAGCUUUCAUUUCUUCUAAUUUUUUAGUAAUGCCUUCAGCUUACUGUUUUUUCAUACAUAUUCCAUCCUCCUAUCGUACAUGUGAAUUUGAAACGCUGUCUUUUUUUAUAUACUCCAUCCUCCUAUCCUGCGCUUGCCUUACAUCAAAUUAGUGUUCAUCUGUAUCAUGCAUCAACCAGUUAUGCAGAGCUAAUUUUAUUCAUCUUCUUGUGGUUUUGACUUCAUAAGGAAAUAGCAGAAAAUAGGAAGGAAAAGAGUAAGUUAGGGGAUGUUGGUGGUCCUCAGCACCGACGCAAACAGAGACUCUCUAGAUUUGCCACUUCUACUGCUAAUGAAGUUGAACUCCCAAGUCUACAAGAUAAGUUCAUCUCCCGUACUCCAUCAUCGCAGGUGCUUGCUCUAAGUUGACAGUGUGAUAAUUGGUUUCAUGUUGCCUAUGUUGUCUAGCCUGUAUUUCUUCUAUUUUGAUUAAUUUUCACUUGCCGAGUUUAUACGUUAUACAUGUGCAUAUGACAUGGCUUUCUGUGUCUAGAAUACACUGCAUCUAUCUAUCAUACCAUGUUCUUACCUGAAAGUACUGUUGUUGUGUAUCUCGCAUCAGUCACUCAUGAUUGGACGCUUUUAACAUGGCAGUUUGAUAGUGGUUGCAUCUUGCAUUGAUUUCUACAUUGUACUGCUUCUAAUUUUUCGAAUUGCCGCUUAUGACAAGACACUUUUAACUUGGCAGAGUAAUAUUGGUUGCAUCUUUCAUAUGGUGUCUAGCUUGCAUUACUUCUAUUUUCUUGAGAAUCCUUCUGCUUAGUUUGCACAUCGUAGCUGUGAAUAUGUCAUGCCGUCCUGUUUUUCUUACAUAUUCCAUCCUCAUACGAUUGUCUUACAUCAAAGUAUUGCUUGUCUAUAUCAUGCAUCAAUGAGUUCUGAAGAGUGAUUUUAUUCUUUUGUGUUGUGGAUACAGCUUGACAUGGCAAAGUCAAAAAAGAGCAAGGAAAAUAAUAUAGUAGGGAGUGCUGUUACUCGUCGGGUGAAACGGAAAAGGAUUUGUGGUUGAGAUUCUGCUGGUACUUAUAGUGCAGUAGAAGGUCCAAGUCCACUGGCUAAAUCUACAAACACAGUAUCGCCUGCUCCACCAGUUGCAGCAUUCACUUCAAUUGUACCAGCAUCUCAACCAGUUACUCGUUCGUUUGCUCCGGAACUGGCCAGUUCCCAAGCUGCCUUCAAACCUAACACUACUUCUGAAGCAGUGCUGACACAAUAGGACUUGGCAAGAUGAGAUGAACCUCAUGAGCAUCAACACCAAGACGGUACCUGUCACGCCCAAUAUGCGACCCUAUCCAAAAGGAACUCGAAGGUCCCACCAAGGAUAGAACCGCAUAUUGAAACGCUUUUGCAAGGUGGAUAUCAUUACAUCAACAUUACAUAAUAGGUGGGGAUACAUACAAAAGGCAUACAAUGCCACACGAAUACAACAUCAUCAUACAUAAGAUCUGUGACACCCCAAAAAUUUGGCCUUGUUUUAUUAAGUUAAAAUUUUGCCAGGAAUUAAACCAUUUGAUAGACCAUUUUACAUAAUUUGACCUUGGAUUUUUGAGCUCCAUUUUGCUUUUUUUUGUUUAAAUCUUUUCCUUCCCUGUUAUAAUGAGUUUUCCAAAAAGAAAACUUUUCAAAAAUGUUGUUGGACUUAUUUAACCUCUCAAGAAAAACUUUCCUUUUAUCAGUAUAACUAAUUAACUAACUUAAUUGCUUGAUCUUUACUUUCCUGAAAAUAGUUUUUUCAAGGUUAAAUGGCCAUAUUUGAACUACAACCAUUUGAUAGAUUCACUUAAAAUUUCCACAAAAAUUUGGAGAUGUCAUGUGAUGUUUUUAAAUCACUUUUAUGCAAAAAUAUAUUUCAUUCACUAAAUAUUUUGAGCCCUGCACUCCAUUUUUCUUCUCUGGUCCAGACUGCAUUUUGCACUACAACCUAUUUAAAUAUUUCUUUAAAACUUCUACCAAAAUUAAGGGAGGUCAGUAGGAGCCUGUUAUUCCACUUUGUGCAAAAAUCCAGGGUUGUUCUUUGAAAUUAUUGAGUGAAUCAACCUCUUUUCCAUUCUGGUCCAAUUUGAGGAUUUGUACAGCAACCACCAUUUUAGUUGCUCCUAUACCCUUAAUUAUUUCUCCUACUUGUAGUCCCCCUUGUUAAACCCUUAAGUCCAGGAGCAUGCACCUUUCAGAUCAUUUUUGGUUCAUGAAAUAAUGCUAUUUUUUUCCUGUCCAGAAAUGUAGUUUUGUAAAACUUGCACUAGCAAGUUUCCCCUUUUGUCCAACUAACCUCACCACACUCUUUUGCAUCUAAAGAGACCCCCAUCUGGAGUUUUUGGCCACCCCAAGACCUGCCUAUGUGCAUGUGGCAUUUUGCCAAACACCUGGAGAGCAUGACCAGUUCUGGCAUGAGUGUGGCAUUGCACUGUGAACUUGCACCUCUGAUCAAACCAGCAUGUCCACUAGACUCCCCGUUGCUCCUAACCUCGAUCUGGUAAAUCCCAUCCUCACCUGCGACCUGUAGCUUGCCUCGGCAUUGUGUCGAACACCUGGUGUGCGUGCACUGGACGCGCCCAGAGCGCGCGUAUUGCAGCCGCGCGCCCGAGCCGACACGCUGGCCCCACGACUUUGGCUCGCUCUGAAGCACCUCGCCACGCACUCCCCUUCUCACCGCAACACGCCAAGCAGCCCCGCCGCGCCCGGCAGGCCAAACACUAGCCGCCGCCGCCGGCCGACAGCCCUGCGUCGUGCAGCGCCGCCCAAGCCACCCCGGCUCGCCACCUGGCCCCUGGAGCAGUGCCCUCUCGUCCACUAGCUCUUGCCGUCAUCCCCAGCCGCGCCACGUUGCCCUGCAAGCUACAGCGAGGCGGUUCGCCGGAGAGCUUAUCCGGCCGCCGCAGCACCGACCUCGACGAGCUAUAAGAGGAGGCCCCGAGCCACCCCGGGCACGCAGGAAGCCUUAGAGUGCUCCCCUAGUCCUCCCAUGGCAGCCAAUCGACUCGGGGAAGGUCUUCAUCCCCAUCUCCGGCAACGGCAGCCGCCACCACUGCCCCGGCCAAUUCGGCACCACCAGGGCCUCCCACUCUUCAUUCUCUCCACCAAGAACCCCCUCAUCCUCCCGUAAACCUUCCCCCUACUCCAUUUCGAUCGAGAACCACCGCCGCCCCGAAACCUCUUUUUCCCGAAGCUUCCCUCCGCCGAGGAGCUCGCCGCCGACAGCUCACGCCAUCCCCGCCGACCCAGCGACUACCGGGAGGACCGCCUCAACCUUGCGGAUCCAUUCCCACCCUCGGGGGCCCGCGAGGAGCAGCCAAACGCCGGCGACGAUCGCCGGAGCUCCGCUCUGCUCGGGCAAAGGAGGGAGACGACGCGCGGCGACUGGUCAAACCUGACCAGUGGGCCAGGCGGGCCCACUGUCGGUGACCCAGCUCCGCCUCCACGCGUUUAAGUGGAAGCGUAAAGACCCUAAGUACGUCUCCCGUUUUCGAAGACGUAUUCUGCCGAAACGUUUCCUUUUUCUAUUUUAUUUUAAAAACAGAUUUUGACCAAAUCUUUGACUGGCUAUAACUUUUUAAAUAUAACUCCAAAUGAGUUGAUUCUUUUUCCUACCUUCCUCAAAUUUGAUCUAGUUUAUUUUAAGAUUUAUUUGAAAAAAUUUCAAACAACUUUUUUGUUCUGUUUUUGAAAUAUGUGUUAAUUCAUAUAUAUUUUAAAUAGGAUUUUGGGAGAAAGAAGAAACUUUCAAAAGUUUUGGAGUGCACCCUGCCUUUCCACACAUUGAAGGCAAGCAUUCUGAACCCCGUCUUAAUAACUUUUGAAGUGAUCAUUGAUGCAUUUAUAACACCACCGCAUUUCGAAGGACUUGUUAUUUCAUGUGAUAUGAUCAUAUGCAUGGGUGCAUGUUACCGAUUUCCAUGCUGUUGGUAAUGGACACACUGGUGACGAUAAUCACCCUCAUGAGCUUUACAUGCAUACCGGCAGGAACCCGGGAAAACCUCUGCCUUGGGUAGGUAUGAGGUUGUCGCCGGUCUCCGUCGGGACGGUUCUGUCUGGUAUGGCAUGGUAAGGUGAUAUGAGUGGUGACUCUGUUUGAUGAAAUAUAUUUGUUAUACUAAUCAUGCAGGGAAUACUUGGACCUCCUGAGUCGACCGUAGAUCGAGUCUUGUUCCAGUAACCCCCAUACUUGUUUCGUGCUACCACUCGUCUCUACAGCAAGUAGAGUACGGUUCAGUAAGUUGUCAACCUCUUUCUAGCACACACCGUACAGAGAGGCCAUGGUGGAAGAUACUGGUUGUAACUGGUAGGCAGGCCACCUGGUCCGGGAGCAUGGGUGUUUCCGGUUGGGACCGAGAGGGGAGGCCACCCCUUAGAGCGCGCGAUAUAAAUUUGAUCCCAUGCUACGCGAGGCUGUAGCCUCCCCACUUAGAGUUUGCUUAACAGGUGUCGUGUGUGAUUCCAGACACGUGUGUGAUAAGCUGGUGUGUGCAAGUUAGGUGUGUUUUCAACAAAAAGACCGUAGACGGAAUUAGUCCCGAUGGACUAAAGAAAUCCGUUACUCGUGGGUAAAGAGUACACCCUCUGCAGAGAAUAAACCUAUUCAAAUAGCCGUGUCCAUGGUUAAGGAUUACAGUCUGGGAUGGGUCAAGUGUCGGUCUUAGUGUCGGUCUUCGGAGGUGAAACUGUUAAACAGAAAUGGAAUUACUACUUGUGACUUGUGAUAACUAUGAAUUAUUAUUAUUGUUGACUAACCCGUGAUAUUAUUGUUAUUAUCGGGUAUCUCUGGGAUGGUGCUACCUCCGGGAUAUCCACUAUGAUUGUUUAUUUUUAAAGCCCUUUAUGUGGUGUCGCUCAGACGCCCGACUGUGGCAUUUCUUUUAAAGCCCUUUAUGUGGUGUCGCUCAGACGCCCGACUGUGGCAUUUCUUUUAAAGCCCUUUAUGUGGUGUCGCUCAGAUGCCCGACUGUGGUAUUUCUUUUAAAGCCCUUUAUGUGGCGUCGCUCAGACGCCCGACUGUGGCAUUUCUUUUAAAGCCCUAUAUGUGGCGUCGCUCAGACGCCCGACUGUGGCAUUUCUUUUAAAGCCCUUUAUGUGGCGUCACUCAGACGCCCGACUGUGGCAUUACUUGUUAUUUGUUUCAUAAGUUAUUAUACUACCAUGUUAUUGCAGUUUUAGAAAUAACUUGCUUGCACGCAUCAGAGUUUCAUUCAUCUAUUGUGACUGACGUCGUGAGCAUAAAAUAUUUUCAGCACAUCAUGGUUAUAUUAUACCUGUGUUCAUAAUGUUUGCGAGUACAUUCAAAGUACUCACUGGCUUGUCCCUGGCUAUUGUCUUGGCCAGAUCUUCUUGCACGGAGAAUAGUGACGCGAUGACAGCCCCGGAACCUAAGCAAUGGAGAUAGCAGCCUCGCGAAGAUAGGAGUUAACCUGGUCAGCUGUUCCUGUGGGAAUUGGAGUCCCAUAGACACUGAUGAUCCACAAAUCGCUUCCGCCAUCAACCACUAGAAACCAUUUGUUGUACUCACAGGCCAGAAUGGUCUUGUACUGCAUAUUUUGUAUGUUGCUUGGAAUUUCUGUAUCAAGUUGGAGCCUCAUCAGCUAACAGUAAUCCUGGGGCUGAUGAGCACGACGGUCUUUUCUGGAAAUUUAUUACCCGGAAAACCCGGUCGUGGCAGGCUUGGUAUCAGAGCCAGGCUGACCAUUGGCUAAUCCUAUCUUAGCCAGGUCAAUAAACUAGGCAAACCAACCCACCAGACCUUAACCAAACCCCAGCCAAGCUUCUCGUGUAAGAUAGCCACACAGUGACCCAACACUUUUGGCAGUCGGUGCCCAACCUAUCAACCUAACCUGUCACUCAUGUGCCAGUGACCGGCCCCUAAAUAGUCCUUUCGCGCAAGCGUUCGAAGGAAGACUCCGUCCCCUUUUUCUUAUAAAAAAGGGCACGCUAGCCUCAAUCCAGCACAGCACAGCCGCUACCCCCAAACCGAGCCACAAUGCCUAGACCUAUAGUGCACAACGAAACCACAACAACCAACCUUGGAGGUUUUGUGACCAUCCUCGCAAACCUCACCCGUCGUGCCUACGCGUUAGAGGAGCCACCAGAAUAUGUUGUGUAUCAAGGACCCAUGAGCGGUGAAGACCGCCAAUUCUGGGCCACUGUGCAUAUUUACGGUAGGAGUCUAGCACCCGAGCGUCCCUACCGGUUCACCGGAAGAACAACUUCCUUUGAGCCACAAGCCAUCCAGCUAGCCGCUCGAGAGGCUAUAGUUCAUCUCAGGCACUUGUCGCCCAGAGUUAACUGUCGCUCGUUCCACUACUACCCCAGACGAGAAGGGUAUGGUAGACCACCCCAAGUCACCAAUGGAGACCACGAGACGGACCCCGCAUUGUUGCACCUAGUGCGCUAUGUAAGUGCACUAGAGGCACUGUUCGACCAGAUCACUAUUGAUCUGAUCGCAGCUCGUGGAGAGUUGGUUCGUCGAGCCCCGGCGAGAGAAGAAAACGAGCCCAACACCGACAACCCAGUCGUGCUGUUUGGACAACCGAUCGAGACCCCGAGAUCUGCCCCAGCCAUCGGCCAAGGUGCUGCGAUAAACCCAGAAGUGCUUCGUCGCAUAUUGGGAGCACACUCCAAUGGGGUUGUGGCCAACAAUCCCCGCAAUGGUCAUUCUCACUACCCCGACCCUGCAGUUCCUCCGCCAUCUCCGACUAAUCCCGGCAGAGAGACACGUGGAGAAGCCUCGACAUCCACCAGGCACGCCCGUUUAGACAUAAAUGAGGUAGACUGAGCCGUAUGAGUAGUACCAAGUUUCAAUGUAUCCUCGCUUUGUAAUCAUGCGACCGCGUAUAUUAACGCGGCUUGUCUUUGUGCCUCUGUGUUGAUAGUAGCCUUGCAUGUUUGGUCAGCGCAUAGCUGCAUAUUUUUCCGGGCACAACUACCAAAACCAGCCCGACGACAACCACAGUAACACAUCUCUUUAUGAGAUAUGUGUAUCUCUGACACUGACCUGACCUUUGGAUCCAAGCUGGCAAAUUUAUUACCUUUCACCACGGUAAAAAUGAUCCAGCUCCAUUGGUAUAUAAAGGCCACCUUGUGACCUUACCCAGCAACCCCCACCUUGUACACCACACUCGCACUUUUUCCUGUCAUGCCGAACCCCAGCAUUCAUCUGAGAACCCCAGAUGCAACCCCAGGUAGCUUUGUCAAAUUAUUGUGGGAUUUUACCCGCAGUACCAUGGGUUCUACCCAGCCACUCCAGUCCGAGCUGUUCAAAUCAAGGAUCACCCCAUCCACCUCGGAAUAUUGGGCAGCAGUACACAUUCCUCCUGUAGACCCCAACCAAGAUCCAAUAGAAGUUUCCUUCGUGGGGAAAUCUAUGCCAACCCCACACUUGGCCAUAGAGGCUGCUGCGAAAGAAGCGAUUGCUCGUCUUCGAUCCGCAGUACCCUAUGCCCGCGAACGAGGAUAUUAUUACUUUCCGAGUCGUGCAGCACCCGAAGAAGUAACGUCUUUUCCCGGUGGGCGUAUUGAGAGAGACCCAGUUCUGGCCAACCUUAUCCAGUACAUCAUUGCUCAAGAGCAUUUAAACCAGCGCGUGAUGGAUUAUCUCCAGAGCCUCGCAGAUUUAAAUCCUCAGGUUGCCAUCAGCAGACCACUGAGGCCCGACACGGAGAGACGCAUACAUCGACUGGUCAAUCCACUUCCUCCGAUUGAAGAAGAAUGUAUUCCUUUACCAGAGACAUUUUAUCAGGACCCCGUCCAGUUACCGUUUUCUUUUUAGACGUCACUACUAUAUUUGUUCUUUGCUGCAUUUAUUUAUGUGUGUGACUAAUGCGUAAUACCCUGAGUUUGUACGACGAGUUAAUUAUUUGGCUUCUGCUCAUGUGUGUAGUUUUGUUAUGGUUUACGCUCCUUUAAAGUAACUGUCUUCCCCUCGCGAAACCCUGGAGUGAGAUUUUCUUUUCCCGGAGUUGCUACAUCUCCACUUUCUCACGACGUGGAUUAUUUAAUUUCACUCAGCACCACGAGCAGACUCACAACCAUAAACAUACGGACUCAUACACUGUUUGCAAAACUUUGCAACGGUGUUACAUCCAGCUAAUCACCCCCUAACAACAGUAGCACCCGACACACUCCAUCUACUCCUCAUGAUCACCACCACCGCGGAGAACCAACACCCGAGCCACAGCAUCGCGAUACUCGUCGAAGAUCAUCGCGCACAGGAGCACAGAGAGCCCCAGCAGCGUCGCCAGCCCUCCGCAUAUCAGGAUCACAAACCAGUCCGGCAUCGCCUCCGCCUUUAGAGCCUCGACCGAGCUUCUGUAAGCAGUAGAGGAGAAAUAAGGAGGAGGAGAAGUGAGGCCAGGUGUAAGGAGGAAGAGAGAGGCACCCCGGCCGUUUUUAUAGCUCAAGCUCGGUGUACGGUGGACGAAGUCCACCAACGCCGCUCGUCGCCGAUCGCGGGUGUUCGGAGUCGAAUCCACGAGCAGUGCCGAUAGCGCACUGGCCCGCGAGGUGAGUGCACGCUGCACCAGCAGCUAGCACGCCGCGCACUACCACGGUACGGCCUAGAUGCCCUACGCAUUAGGCAUCGCCGGUGGAGAAAGCGCGAGAAAGCGCGCGGGAGAGAGGAGGAAGAAAGGUCCAGUGGGAGAAGAAGAGGAGACUGACAGUGGACCCCGGGUCCACCUGUCAGCCAGAGAGAGCACUAUGCUCUCGGGUGCGAUCAGCGUAUAUCUAAAUUUAGGAGUUAUUCUAAAUUUUUAUCCAGCGUAGAAAUCACCCAUUUUUGUCCCGAACCGUAGACUCUUCCACGCAGCCCUAGUUUUCACACUGUGGUUUUUCACCACUUAUUGCCCUCUCACUGUAGCUACAUCUUUAUUGCGUAAAAUAUUCUCUUAACACCGCUUUCAGCAAAUCUCGAGGACGAGAUUUUUCUUAAGGGGGAUAGUAUUGUGACACCCCAAAAAUUUGGCCUUGUUUUAUUAAGUUAAAAUUUUGCCAGGAAUUAAAACCUUGGAUUUUUGAGCUCCAUUUUGAUUUUUUUUUGUUUAAAUCUUUUCCUUCCCUGUUAUAAUGAGUUUUCCAAAAAGAAAACUUUUCAAAAAUGUUGUUGGACUUAUUUAACCUCUCAAGAAAAACUUUCCUUUUAUCAGUAUAACUAAUUAACUAACUUAAUUGCUUGAUCUUUACUUUCUUGAAAAUAGUGUUUUCAAGGUUAAAUGGCCAUAUUUGAACUACAACCAUUUGAUAGAUUCACUUAAAAUUUCCACAAAAAUUUGGAGAUGUCAUGUGAUGUUUUUAAAUCACUUUUAUGCAAAAAUAUAUUUCAUUCACUAAAUAUUUUGAGCCCUGCACUCCAUUUUUCUUCUCUGGUCCAGAGUGCAUUUUGCACUACAACCUAUUUAAAUAUUUCUUUAAAACUUCUACCAAAAUUAAGGGAGGUCAGUAGGAGCCUAUUAUUCCACUUUGUGCAAAAAUCCAGAGUUGUUCUUUGAAAUUAUUGAGUGAAUCAACCUCUUUUCCAUUCUGGUCCAAUUUGAGGAUUUGUACAACAACCACCAUUUCAGUUACUCCUAUACCCUUAAUUAUUUCUCCUACUUGUAGUCCCCCUUGUUAAACCCUUAAGUCCAGGAGCAUGCACCUUUCAGAUCAUUUUUGGUUCAUGAAAUAAUGCUAUUUAUUUCCUGUCCAGAAAUGUAGUUUUGUAAAACUUGCACUAGCAAGUUUCCCCUUUUGUCCAACUAACCUCACCACUCUCUUUUGCAUCUAAAGAGACCCCCAUCUGGAGUUUUUGGCCACCCCAAGACCUUCCUAAGUGCAUGUGGCAUUUUGCCAAACACCUGGAGAGCAUGACCAGUUCUGGCAUGAGUGUGGCAUUGCACUGUGAACUUGCACCUCUGAUCAAACCAGCAUGUCCACUAGACUCCCCGUUGCUCCUAACCUCGAUCUGGUAAAUCCCAUCCUCACCUGCGACCUGUAGCUUGCCUCGGCAUUGUGUCGAACACCUGGUGUGCGUGCACUGGACGCGCCCAGAGCGCGCGUAUUGCAGCCGCGCGCCCGAGCCGACACGCUGGCCCCACGACUUUGGCUCGCUCUGAAGCACCUCGCCACGCACUCCCCUUCUCACCGCAACACGCCAAGCAGCCCCGCCGCGCCCGGCAGGCCAAACACUAGCCGCCCCCGCCGCCCGACAGCCCUGCGUCGUGCAGCGCCGCCCAAGCCACCCCGGCUCGCCACCUGUCCCCUGGAGCAGUGCCCUCUCGUCCACUAGCUCUUGCCGUCAUCCCCAGCCGCGCCAUGUUGCCCCGCAAGCUACAGCGAGGCGGUUCGUCGGAGAGCUUAUCCGCCGCCGCGGCACCGACCUCGAUGAGCUAUAAGAGGAGGCACCGAGCCACCCCGGGCACGCAGGAAGCCUUAGAGUGCUCCCCUAGUCCUCCCAUGGCAGCCAAUCGACUCGGGGAAGGUCUUCAUCCCCAUCUCCGGCAACGGCAGCCGCCACCACUGCCCCGGCCAAUUCGGCAGCACCAGGGCCUCCCACUCUUCGUUCUCUCCACCAAGAACCCCCUCAUCCUCCCGUAAACCUUCCCCCUACUCCAUUUCGAUCGAGAACCACCGCCGCCCCGAAACCACUUUUUCCCGAAGCUUCCCUCCGCCGAGGAGCUCGCCGCCGACAGCUCACGCCAUCCCCGCCGACCCAGCGACUACCGGGAGGACCGCCUCAACCUUGCGGAUCCAUUCCCACCCUCGGGGGCCCGCGAGGAGCAGCCAAACGCCGGCGACGAUCGCCGGAGCUCCGCUCUGCUCGGGCAAAGGAGGGAGACGACGCGCGGCGACUGGUCAAACCUGACCAGUGGGCCAGGCGGGCCCACUGUCGGUGACCCAGCUCCGCCUCCACGCGUUUAAGUGGAAGCGUAAAGACCCUAAGUACGUCUCCCGUUUUCGAAGACGUAUUCUGCCGAAACGUUUUCUUUUUCUAUUUUAUUUUAAAAACAGAUUUUGACCAAAUCUUUGACUGGCUAUAACUUUUUAAAUAUAACUCCAAAUGAGUUGAUUCUUUUUCCUACCGUCCUCAAAUUUGAUCUAGUUUAUUUUAAGAUUUAUUUGAAAAUUUUUCAAACAACUUUUUUGUUCUGUUUUUGAAAUAUGUGUUAAUUCAUAUAUAUUUUAAAUAGGAUUUUGGGAGAAAGAAGAAACUUUUAAAAGUUUUGGAGUGCACCCUGCCUUUCCACACAUUGAAGGCAAGCAUUCUGAACCCCGGCUUAAUAAAUUUUGAAGUGAUCAUUGAUGCAUUUAUAACACCACCGCAUUUCGAAGGACUUGUUAUUUCAUGUGAUAUGAUCAUAUGCAUGGGUGCAUGUUACCGAUUUCCAUGUUGUUGGUAAUGGACACACUGGUGACGCUAAUCACCCUAUUAGCUUUACAUGCAUACCAGCAGGAACCCGGGAAAACCUCUGCCUUGGGUAGGUAUGAGGUUGUCGCCGGUCUCCGUCGGGACGGUUCUGUCUGGUAUGGCAUGGUAAGGUGAUAUGAGUGGUGACUCUGUUUGAUGAAAUAUAUUUGUUAUACUAAUCAUGCAGGGAAUACUUGGACCUCCUGAGUCGACCGUAGAUCGAGUCUUGUUCCAGUAACCCCCAUACUUGUUUCGUGCUACCACUCGUCUCUACAGCAAGUAGAGUACGGUUCAGUAAGUUGUCAACCUCUUUCUAGCACACACCGUACAGAGAGGCCAUGGUGGAAGAUACUCGUUGUAACUGGUAGGCAGGCCACCUGGUCCGGGAGCAUGGGUGUUUCCGGUUGGGACCAAGAGGGGAGGCCACCCCUUAGAGCGCGCGAUAUAAAUUUGAUCCCAUGCUACACGAGGUUGUAGCCUCCCCACUUAGAGUUUGCUUAACAGGUGUCGUGGGUGAUUCCAGACACGUGUGUGAUAAGCUGGUGUGUGCAAGUUAGGUGUGUUUUCAACAAAAAGACCGUAGACGGAAUUAGUCCCGAUGGACUAAAGAAAUCCGUUACUCGUGGGUAAAGAGUACACCCUCUGCAGAGAAUAAACAUAUUCGAAUAGCCCUGUCCAUGGUUAAGGAUUACAGUCUGGGAUGGGUCAAGUGUCGGUCUUAGUGUCGGUCUUCGGAGGUGAAAUUGUUAAACAGAAAUGGAAUUACUACUUGUGACUUGUGAUAACUAUGAAUUAUUAUUAUUUUUGACUAACCCGUGAUAUUAUUGUUAUUAUCGGGUAUCUCUGGGAUGGUGCUACCUCCGGGAUAUCCACUAUGAUUGUUUAUUUUUAAAGCCCUUUAUGUGGUGUCGCUCAGACGCCCGACUGUGGCAUUUCUUUUAAAGCCCUUUAUGUGGUGUCGCUCAGACGCCCGACUGUGGCAUUUCUUUUAAAGCCCUUUAUGUGGUGUCGCUCAGAUGCCCGACUGUGGUAUUUCUUUUAAAGCCCUUUAUGUGGCGUCGCUCAAACGCCCGACUGUGGCAUUUCUUUUAAAGCCCUUUAUGUGGCGUCGCUCAGACGCCCGACUGUGGCAUUUCUUUUAAAGCCCUUUAUGUGGCGUCGCUCAGACGCCCGACUGUGGCAUUACUUGUUAUUUGUUUCAUAAGUUAUUAUACUACCAUGUUAUUGCAGUUUUAGAAAUAACUUGCUUGCACGCAUCAGAGUUUCAUUCAUCUAUUGUGACUAACGUCGUGAGCAUAAAAUAUUUUCAGCACCUCAUUGUUAUAUUAUACCUGUGUUCAUAAUGUUUGCGAGUACAUUCAAAGUACUCACUGGCUUGUCCCUGGCUAUUGUCUUGGCCAGAUUUUCUUGCACGGAGAGGAAUGACGCGAUGACAGCCCCGGAACCUAAGCAAUGGAGAUAGCAGCCUCGCAAAGAUAGGAGUUAACCUGGUCAGCUGUUCCUCUGGGAAUUGGAGUCCCAUAGACACUGAUGAUCCACAAACCGCUUCCGCCAUCAACCACUAGAAACCAUUUGUUGUACUCACAGGCCAGAAUGGUCUUGUACUGCAUAUUUUGUAUGUUGCUUGGAAUUUCUGUAUCAAGUUGGAGCCUCAUCAGCUAACAGUAAUCCUGGGGCUGAUGAGCACGACGGUCUUUUCUGGAAAUUUAUUACCCGGAAAACCCGGUCGUGGCAAGAUCAACAUCCGACUACGGAUGAAACACAAAUAGAAACUCAAACGACAUCCACCCUGCUAGCCCAGGCUGCUGACCUGGAACCUAUCCCCUGAUCGAAGAAGCAGAAGAAGAACUCAACGCAAGCAAGCAUCGCUCUCGCGUCAUGAUCAUCGCAACAACCUAUACCUGCCACUGUUGUUGUAGUAAUCUGUGAGCCACGAGGACUCAGCAAUCCCAUUACCAUGGGUAUCAAGACUAGCAAAGCUCAAAGGGAAAGGAAGGGGUAAAGUGGUGAGGCUGCAGUAGCGACUAAGCAUGAUAUGGUGGCUAACAUACACAAAUAAGAGCGAGAAGAGAACAAGCGGAACGGUCGUGAAACUAGCAAUGAUCAAGAAGUGAUCCUGAACUCCUACUUACGUCAAACAUAACCCAGAAACUGAGUUCACUUCCUGGACUCCGCCGAGAAGAGACCAUCACGGCUACACAAGCGGUUGAUGCGUUUUAAUUCGGAUCUGGUGUCAAGUUAUCUACACCCGGACAUUAACAAAUUCCCAUCUGCCUAUAACCGCAGGCACGACUUUCGAAAGAUUAUACCCUGCAGGGGUGUCCCAACUUAGCCCAUGAUAAGCUCUCGCGAUCAACGAAGGAUAUACCUUCUCCCAGGAAGACCCAAUCAGACUCGGAAUCCAGGUUUACAAGACAUUUCGACAAUGGUAAAACAAGACCAGCAAGGCCGCCCGAUGCGCCGACAAUCUCGAUAGGAGCUGCACAUAUCUCAUUCUCAGGGCAACACCGGAUAGGUCAGCCUACGAGUAAAACCAGCCCAAGAGUUGCCCCGAGGUGGCCUCGCAGUCUGCCCGGUUCGGACCAACACUUAGACAAGCACUGGCCCGGGGGAGCUAAAAUAAAGAUGACCCAUGGGUUGGCCGACCCAAGGGAAGGGUAUAGGUGGUAGUGAGGAAAAUGGUAAAACCAAGGUUGGGCCUUGCUGGAAGAGUUUUAUUGAAAGCGAACUGUCAAGGGGGUCCCAUAAAUCACCCAACCGCGUAAGGAACGCAAAAUUCGGGAACAUAACACCGGUAUGACAGAAACUAGGGCGGCAAGAGUGGAACAAAACACCAGGCAAAAGGCCGAGUCUUCCACCCUUUACCAAGUAUAUAGAUGCAUUAAUUAAAAUAAGAGAUAUUGUGAUAUCCCAACAUAAACCUGUCCAUCAUGGGGCAAUCUUCAACUUCACCUGCAACUAACAACGCUAUAAGAGGGGCUGAGCAAAAGCGGUAACAUAGCCAAGCGACGGUUUGCUAGGAAGGGUGUCAAAGGUUAGAGGUUCAUGGCAAUUUGGGGGGCUAGAAGAGCAACAGAUAGGUAACACAGCAUAGCGAUAGAACGAAGCAACUAGCAUAGCAAUGAUAGUAGUGAGUUCCAGGGUGGCGGUCAUCUUGCCUGAAAUCCUGCAAGGAACAUGAACGAGUCCAUGAAGAAGACGAACGGAUGAAGCCGAACCAAGCGUAGACGAACGAAUCCUCACGAUCGCAACGAAACAGGAACUAUCGAAAAGAAGCACACAACAAGGUAAACACACCACACAUGAAUAAGGCAUGAUGCACAACAAGCAUGAUGCAUGACAAGGCUACAUGAAGCUACUCAUGGCAAUAGAUGAUGCAAACAAGAGCAACACAUCAAGGCAAGUUUAAAUGAGGCCGGGAACAACAUAUAACAAUUCCGGUAAGUCCUCAUAUGCAUAUUUCGAAAUUUGGCCAGAUCUGAAUAAACCUUAUGUUCAAGUUGUUAAACAGAAAGUUAAGAUGCACCAAGAAGAUCUCCACGCGAUUCUAGUCAAGUUACAUAUAAAGUUCAUUUAGUUCGGAGCUACGGCCUAGAAGAUAUGAGCAAAAUAUGUUAAACAUGGCAUUGAUGCAAAAUGCAUACAAACAUCAAGAAAACACCUCAAAACAUGGAUGCAACAUGAUAAUAUGGAACUACAUGCAAAAUCAAGCAAGUUCCAUAUAGAGCACACUCAAAAAGGAGCAACGGUUCAACAGACACACACUAUGCAAGUUAUAGCAACAAUCUGUCCAAAACAGCAACUAGGCAUAUUGCAAGCAACAAAACAAUAAGCUACAGGACCUCAACAUGAGAAUAAAAGGCAUGGGCAUGAUGUACAGGUAAAGCAUAACAAAACAUGAACACUUAGAUAUCUCCAUAAAUCAUUAACAUGCUCAAACACACAUGGCAAGAUUGCAAACGAUAACAAUUUAGACUUUGCAAAAAAUAACAUCAGGUUGCAAUGUUGAGAGCUAUCAAAAAACAUGUUACAGGAACUCAUCAUGGCAAAAAAAGGCAUGCAUUAAUCUACUAAUUGCAUAGAUCAAAAGUCCUUUACUUACCAUGAGCCAAAAAGGAGCAGAAAAUAUGAUGGCACCCAUGUAAACAUGGCAAGUUAUAUUACAGAUUCAAACAUGGCAGGAACAACGAUAAGAUAGCAUGUAGAUGAGCUUGUACCACUCACCACAGAGCAUUACAUGGCAUGGCAAUGUUACCAACAGUAAUAAGAGAAAGUUCAUAGGGUGCAUGGAACACUAGCAACAAUCUUGGCAACAACUGAACUUAAUGUUAACAGGCUGACAGCAACAUUAUGUAGCAACUUUGGAGAAAGAUUACAACAAGCUACAGCAGGCUAUAAUUACAACCAGGGGCAUGAAUGGAUAGAGCAUAACAUGUAGAACAAAACUCCCUUAGUGAACAUCUCAAGAUUAUGCAUAGAAUGACCUGUAGCAGCAGGUUUACAUAGCAUUACGAAAUAACAGAUUUAGCCUAGCAAAACAGUAACAACAAGUACACUACUUAACAAGCUCGAUUCACUCACCACAAGUCAUUGCAUGACAAGAUAAGCAUAGCAUCAUCAAUAAGACAUGUUUAUGAAACAAACCAAGUCAAGAACAAGUUCAUAGCAUGCAAGGAUCAACUACAACAACCUUGGCAAAAUUGAAUAACAUGUAAACAAUCUGCCAGGAAACAUUUUGGAGCAAAAGUAGAGCACGCAAAAUGACAUGCUAGACUACUCCAUGAUUGCAAAAAGGGGCAUGAAUGGAUACAAAAUAACCAUAUGUUCAAAACACCCUUACUCAAGUAUCUCAAAAUAUGCAUGGAUCUCUCUGUAGCAUCAUGUUUACAUGGCAUCAAAAUAACAGCAGAACAGGGACAAAUCAGCAACAUCACGAAACCUAGUUUGCAUGCUUGUGCUAGUCACCACAAUGAUCACAAAAAUACAUGGCAUACACCACUAUAAAGAUGGAAUGACAUAGAUCAAAACACAUGUAGACAUCAACCUCAUAGGAUGCACACAUCAAACGUGGCAAAAAUGACAAAUGAGCAUGUUCUGUUAACAAACAACAGCCAACAUUAUGAAGCACUCUUGCAACAAUGAUUCAGGAAUCAAGGUGAGCUCAAAUGAACAUGAUGCAAUGUAAUUAAAUGAAGAACUUGUUGAGACGAACAAUUUGACAUAUUACAUGCACAAAACGGAGCAGUAUGCAUGGAGAUAUGAUGCGAUGAACAUGGCAUGAUAAUGUUUGAAAACAGGGACUUGGAUGAAAAUAUACCCUCCGAAAAGUCAACAUGGGACGAGGAGAUCCAGGGACGGAGCGGAUUCGGGACGGGGCACGCGGCGUUUGGUUUGAUGUGGUGGUGGAUCUCAUCCACCCUGUAGUUCUGGGCCGGAUCUCGCUGGAUCCGGACGGAGUUUUCGCCGGAGACGGUGGCCGGAGGCGAGGGAGAGGCCGGGGAGGCGCGGACGGAGGUCGGGCGCGGCAUGGCGACNNNNNNNNNNNNNNNNNNNNNNNNNNNNNNNNNNNNNNNNNNNNNNNNNNNNNNNNNNNNNNNNNNNNNNNNNNNNNNNNNNNNNNNNNNNNNNNNNNNNNNNNNNNNNNNNNNNNNNNNNNNNNNNNNNNNNNNNNNNNNNNNNNNNNNNNNNNNNNNNNNNNNNNNNNNNNNNNNNNNNNNNNNNNNNNNNNNNNNNNNNNNNNNNNNNNNNNNNNNNNNNNNNNNNNNNNNNNNNNNNNNNNNNNNNNNNNNNNNNNNNNNNNNNNNNNNNNNNNNNNNNNNNNNNNNNNNNNNNNNNNNNNNNNNNNNNNNNNNNNNNNNNNNNNNNNNNNNNNNNNNNNNNNNNNNNNNNNNNNNNNNNNNNNNNNNNNNNNNNNNNNNNNNNNNNNNNNNNNNNNNNNNNNNNNNNNNNNNNNNNNNNNNNNNNNNNNNNNNNNNNNNNNNNNNNNNNNNNNNNNNNNNNNNNNNNNNNNNNNNNNNNNNNNNNNNNNNNNNNNNNNNNNNNNNNNNNNNNNNNNNNNNNNNNNNNNNNNNNNNNNNNNNNNNNNNNNNNNNNNNNNNNNNNNNNNNNNNNNNNNNNNNNNNNNNNNNNNNNNNNNNNNNNNNNNNNNNNNNNNNNNNNNNNNNNNNNNNNNNNNNNNNNNNNNNNNNNNNNNNNCGGGCCCUGGCGGAGGAGACGGCGGUGGGAGCGACGUGGCGAGGUGGGAUUGGCCGGGGGCGACGGGCGGACAUUUCCGGUUGCGGCCGGACGUGUCCGGUGGCGGCAGGGAGGAUUAGGCUAGGGUUUCGUCCGGGAAUUUCGGGGGAGGUGCUUAUUUAUAGAUUCUAGGAGCUAGGAGACUCCAAAUGAGGCACGGUUUUCGCCCACACGAUCGUGAUCGAACGACCGAGAGCAUGGAGGGGAGUUUUCUGGGUUUUGGGCCACUUUGGAGGGGUGUUGGGCUGCAAGACGAAAGAGGCUUUUACGGUUACCCGGUUAACUGUUGGAGUAUCGAACGACCUCCAAAUGGCACGAAACUUGACAGGCGGUCUACCGGUGGUAUACCAAGGCCACUUGGCAAGGCUCGGUCCAUUCCGAGAACGUUUAACACCCGCUCACAACGAGAGACAAAAGGGGGACACCGGAGGGCAUAGGAGUGCCGGAUUGCCAAACGGACAACGGGGAAAAUGCUCGGAUGCAUGAGUAGAACACGUAUGCAAAAUGAAAUGCACAUGAUGACAUGAUAAAAUGCAACACGCAAGCAAAUGACAUGGCAAUGAUGGCGAAUAACUGGCAGACACCUUGCGCAUCGAAUCCGGGGCGUUACAGUACCUCACCGAGUCAAGUUGCAGUUACAUGCUCCUUUAUAUGUACUCUCACAGUUUGAUGUACAAUAACACUUUCCAUAUUCAUUUUUGAACUAGAACCACGGUGCAAGCGGAAACAGACAUCAGGGAUAAUGCUUGACAGAUUAACAAAAUCUAAAGGAGGAAGAAUGGAGAUCCAUUUUGAGGCAGGUUUAAAAAGACCACGUGAUGCUACAAAGUCAGCCAAGUUAGUAUCAGAGGCAGCUCUUGCCAUUAGGUGUCAUGCACGUAUCCUCCCAACGUGGAUGCAGUACAGGAAUGAGAAAGACAAUACCCAGUUUAACACCUUUCUUGACCAUUUAUCCGUAAGUAAUGUUAUUCAUCGCAAUUAGUAAUAUUGUCUUGCUCUGUCCCAUACUUUCUAGCUUCCUCCUAAUAAGACUCACAUUCUUUUUUCAACAGAUGAGGUUCAAGUUGGAUCUGAAAGAUGAUGCGUCUAAACAAGCAUGCACUCAUGUUUUUAGUCUGCACUGCGACAGUAUCGGUACCACCUUAGAAAAUCUCACUUUGAAGGCAAGGCUAACAAUGAAAUCGCCCAAACAUCUCGAGUGGAAUAUAUUACAGAUGAAGACUGGACAACCCUCGUUAAACACUGGUCUGAUCCAAAGUAUCAGGUAGGCUAUAUGUAUUUGAUCACACCACAUAUUGAACUUGUAUUUAUGUAUGUGCCUUACAAGUGUAUCUUGUUCUAGGCUAACUGUUUGAAGAACAAAACCAACCGUUCUAAAGUGAAAUUCCAAUAGACAAUAGGAUCUCGUAGCUAUAUUGCACACUACAAGGCUCUUGUAAAUAGCUGCUACUUCCUUCUUUUUUGUGUGCCAUAUUAUCGUAUCUAUAUUGACUUGUUCCAAAUACAGAGCAAAGCGCGUGUGGACCAAAAAGAACCUGAACCGAAUGCAGUGCAAAUCUUCAAGGAUUGCCACACCAGCAAGAUGAAGGGCAUGAGCACACCAGUUCAAGAUGCUGUUGUAAGUCCUUACUCCUCCUACCUUGAACUGAUUGGUACUGCGAAGUGUUCACUUAACUACUUGGUUUGCAGCCAAUGUCAGUUACUCUGUUCACUUUUAUACAUAGUUGUCUUAACGUAUCAUUUCACCUUACAUGGUUUAAAAGAGAUGAAGGAUAUUCUUUUGGUCUUGAUCUAUAAUCUAGUUGUUAUGUUCACGUGCGCACACAAUGAUAAAAUAGCCUGUUUGUUUUAUAUCUGUUUGCCCAUGAUAUGAAUGAUGUCAUACUAUGUUCAUCCUACUUUAAACCAUGUCUCUUUAUCUUUAGAUGUCAACGAAUGUGAGGAAAUAGACAAUUCAGUAGGCAUGCUACAUGGACAUAUGUUCCAAACGUGAUUUUAUUAUGUAGUUGGCACUACAUGCUAAUGUAUUACAGUAGUUCACCAAAAUAAGUUAUGUAUAAAUGUUUAACCUACUUUGUUUGUUUUUGUCUCAUUAGUAAAUUAUCUGGUACACAAAUCUACAAGUUCAAACUUUCAGGAAGCUAUGAAACAAAUGAUUGAACAACCACAACCACCUGAAGGUGACGAGGCUACGACAGGCACAAUGUCACCUCUUGCUGCAGUGCAUCAGUAUCUUUCCACAAACAAUGCAAAAAGCACCUUCUUGCAUAAUUCUGGGUUGGUUGUCAAGGUAACCUCGUGCAAAUCGCCUUCUGAACAAAAUCUUCCGACUAGACAGAGUGAUAUAUCUGUGCUCCAGACACAAGUCCAAUCCCUAAUGGACGUUGUUUCAGAAACAAGAAUAGUGGUUGAGAAAUGUCGUCAAGAUAUGAAUGGUUUUAAAACCAGACUAUCAGAAAUUCGCUUCGUUGUUCAAGAGCAAUGGCAGAAAAAAGGUGGAGAUCGUGCUGCUCCAUCAGAUUCUAUAGCCUGAAACAUUAGCACUUAGGUCAAAUGAUAUGUGCUUGUAUACAUCUAAUGGUGCUUUCAUCUGGAAGGACUAUAAACUUUAUGCCAACAGGCCUUUUGUUGUAUGGUUGGAAUUUAUUUUGUUGUGAUACAACAUUUAUGAUGCUGCCACAGGCUGCAGUAAUUACGACGCUAUUUUUGUAUAGUGUAGGUUUAUCUUAGUAAUGUAUUUGACCGAAAGCUUUGUAGGAGCCCAACAUGCCAACAUUCGUCAUGCCCAUUCCAAUUGGGCUAGAAACGAUUACGGGCCGAAAUUGGCUUGUAGCCCACUAAAAAUAUCUGGGCCUAAAUUAGCAUAAGCUUUCAUAUUUUUCUGGUAAGCAUGUGCCCAUAGCAGGCCUUUAACAGGCCUAAACAUAAUUUGGGCCCUCAGUAAAACUAGGCCUUUUACAUGUGUAAAUAUCUCGAGCCCAUAAAAACAUGGGCCUUUAAUAGACCGAAAGUGAGAUUGGGCCCUGAUUGUGCCAAAUAACCCACUGGACUUAGCAGGCCGAAAUGGUGGCCCAUUUACGAUGCGGAUCUUUGACAGGACGAAAUUCAGACGGGCCAUAAAUGCGCCGACCUAAUACACGGGCCUUUAACGGGCCGGAACUUCGGUUGGGCUAGAUUAUUGCCAUUUUUAUAUGGUCCGUUAAUGGGCCCGAUAUGACAUUGGGCCACGUAUGGCCCAUGGUUUACGUCCAGCGUUAACAGGCCGGAAAUGAUAACAGACCAAAAGUGGCCCAAAUCUAUAGUGGGCCUCUAACAGGCCGAAUGUCAGACAUGGCCGAAUAUGACCCCAAAUCCUUUAUGGCCGUUUAUGGGCCAAAAGUUUUGAUGGCCUAUAAAUGGGCCCAAGUGAAGCCGGACCUUUAAAAGGCCGGAAAUACACCGGGCUGUAAUUCGGCCCAAUUACUUAGCGGACAGUUAACGGGCCAGAAUUGACCAUGGGCCGCAUUGAUGACAAGUUUAGGACAGGCCGUUGACAGGCCGAUUUGAUAGAGAAUGUUGGGCCUUUAGCUGGGCCGGCCCAUUGUGGUCCGAAAAAUCUCGUGGGCCUUUAGCUGGUCCGGCCCAUUAAGUUCUACAAAUUCGUGUGGGUCUUUAGCUGGGCCGGCCCAUUAUGGUCCGCUAUAUUUUGUGGGUCUUUAGCUAGGCCGGCCCAUUAUGGCCCGCUAAAUCUUAUGGGCGUUCGGUUGGGCCGGCCCAUUUAAACUUUGUGGGCCACUUUUGGGCCGGUCCAUGUGUCAACAUAUCAUAGGUCAUCUCAACCAUUGGAUGAGUGACACCUGUGCCAACGCGGAGCUGACGCAUGGAUCCAUCAGGCAAUGAGAAUUUUACACGUGGAAAAUUGGCAUUGGUCGUGGCUCUUAACGGGUUAUCGGAUCCAAUAUCCGACCCGAUAGCUUAACGGUGUUCCUUUACAGUGGAUGCCACGUGUCGGCCACCCUUAACGAAAGCACUUCUGUAACGCGCGAUUUAUCGUCAUGGAAGUGGACACUUCCGUGCUGAUAAUUUUGGUAAUGGCAUGGAACACUUCUAUGACAUCACAGGUAUGACUAUCUUGAUUCUCUCGUAAAUUUGUCAUGGAUGUACAUGCAUGACAGAAAACGCGACCUACUGUGACAAACACGUAUCAUCACGGAAGUGUAUUUUUUUGUAGUGAAGAGAUGUAAUAUAAUAGUAAACAGACCCGGGGGCCAUAGGUUUCACUAGUGCCUUCUCUGAAGAUAGCAUGUUUUACGGUGGGUGAACAAAUUACUGCCGACCAAUUGAUAGAAAAGCGCAUAGUUAUGAAGAUAUCUAAGGAAAUGCCCGGAUACCUAAACUGAAGAGGAUGUCCCACCAUAGCAAGAUAAGAUACAGACCAAUUAACUGGUAAGACAACCUUCCCCAUUGCUUUUCUUUCAACUAACUGGAAAAAGAAGGGGGCUCUUAUGCGACUAGAUCAUGAACAUAGGCAUCACUUCCGUCUCAAGUAGACCGAAAUGAUUCUGCAUCCACUACUAUGACUCCACACAUCGACCGCUAUCCAGCAUGCAUAUAGAGUAUUAAGUUCAUAAGAACGGAGUAACGCAUUAAGCAAGAUGACAUGAUGUAGAGGGAUAAACUCAAGCAAUAUGAUAUAAACCCCAUCUUUUUAUCCUCGAUGGCAACAAUACAAUACGUGCCUUGCUGCCCCUACUGUCACUAGGAAAGGACACCGCAAGAUUGAACCCAAAGCUAAGCACUUCUCCCAUUGCAAGAAAGGUCAAUCUAGUAGGACAAACUAAACCGAUAAUUCGAAGAGACUUGCAAAGAUAUCAAAUCAUGCAUAUAAGAAUUCAGAGAAGAACGAAAUCAUAUUCAUAGAUAAUCUUGUUCAUAAAUCCACAAUUCAUCAAAUCUCGGCAAACACACUGCAAAAGAGUAUUACAUCGAAUAGAUCUCCAUGAACAUCGAGGAGAACUUUGUAUUGAGAAUCAAAGAGAGAGAAGAAGCCAUCUAGCUAAUAACUAUGGACCCGAAGGUCUGUGGUAAACUACUCACGCUUCAUCAGAGAGGCAAUGUUGUUGAUUUAGAAGCCCUCCGUGAUUGAUUCCCCCUCAAGUAGAUCAUCGGAAAAGGCCCCAAGAUGGGAUCUCAGGGGUACAGAAGGUUGCGGCAGUGGAAAUGUGGUUUCGUGGCUCCCCCUGAUGUUUCUAGGGUAUAAGAGUAUAUAUAGGCGACAUAAGUAUGUUGGUGGAGCUAUGAGGGGCCCAUGAGGGUGGGGGCGCGCCUACCCCCCUGGGUGCACCCUCCUUCCUCGUGGACGCCUCGUGGUGUUUUUGAUUUCAACUCCAAGUCUUCUGGAUUGCUUUCGAUCCAAGAAAGAUCAUCGCGAAGGUUUCAUUCCGUUUGGACUCCGCUUGGUAUUCCUUUCCUACAAAACUCUAAAAUAGGCAAAAAAACUGAAACUGGCACUGGGCCUCUGGUUAAUAGGUUAGUCCCAAAAAUAAUAUACAAGAGCAUAUUAAAGCCCAUUAAACAUCCAAAACAGAUAAUAUAAUAGCAUGGAACAAUCAAAAAUUAUAGAUACAUUGGAGACGUAUCACUAUCACAGAUCCGAAGGCAAGAUAUUUGUUGCUAAGAAUGGAUCCUUUCUAGAGAAGGAGUUUCUCUCGAAAGAAGUGAGUGGGAGGAAAGUAGAACUUGAUGAGGUAAUUGUACCUUCUCCCGAAUUGGAAAGUAGUUCAUCACUGAAAUCGAUACUAGUGAAUCCUACACCAAUUAGUGAGGAAGCUAAUAAUGAUGAUCAUGAAACUUCAGAUCAAGUUACUACCAAACCUGGUAGGUCAACCAGAGUACGGUCCACAUCAGAGUGGUACGGUAAUCUUAUUCUGGAAUUCAUGUUACUAGACCAUGAUGAACAUAUGAACUAUGAGGAAGCGAUGAUGAGCCCAGAUUCCGCGAAAUUGCUUGAGGCCAUGAAAUCUGAUAUGGGAUCCAUGUAUGACAACAAAGUGUGGACUUUGGUGGACUUGCCCGAUGAUCGGCAAGCCAUAGAGAAUAAAUGGAUCUUCAAGAAGAAUAUUGGCGUUGAUAGUAAUGUUACUAUCUAUAAAGCUCGACUUGUUGUGAAAGGUUUUCGACAAGUUCAAGGAGUUGACUAUGAUGAGACCUUCUCACCCAUAGCGAUGCCUAAGUCUGUCCGAAUCAUGUUAGCAAUUGCUGCAUUUUAUGAUUAUGAAAUUUGGCAAAUGGAUGUCAAAACUGCAUUCCUUAAUGGAUUUCUUAAAGGUUCUAACAAAGUGUGCAAGCUCCAGCGAUCCAUUUAUGGACUGGUGCAAGCCUCUCGGAGUUGGAAUAUACGCUUUUAUAUUGUGAUCAAAGCAUAUGGUUUUAUACAGACUAUUCGAGAAGCCUGUAUUUACAAGAAAGUGAGUGGAAGCUCUGUAGCAUUUCUAAUAUUAUAUGUGGCUGACAUAUUGUUGAUUGGAAAUGAUACGUAAUUUUUGGAUAGCAUAAAAGGAUGCUUGAAUAAGAAUUUGUCAAUGAAAGACCUCGGUGAAGCUGCUUACAUAUUGGGCAUCGAGAUCUAUAGAGAUUGAUUAAGACGCUUAAUUGGACUUUCACAAAGCACAUACCUUAAUAAAGUUUUUAAGAAGUUCAAAAUGGAUCAGUCAAAGAAAGGGUUCUUGCCUGUGUUACAAGGUGUGAAGUUGAGUCAGACUCAAUGCCCUACCACUGCAGAAGAUAGAGAGAAAAUGAAAGGCAUUCCCUAUGCUUCAGCCAUAGGUUGUAUCAUGUAUGCAAUGUUGUGUACCAGACCUGAUGUGUGCCUUGCUAUAAGUAUAACAGGGUGGUACCAAAGUAAUCCAGGAGUGGAGCACUGGACACUGGUCAAGAACAUCCUAAAAUACCUAAAAAGGACUAAGGGUAUGUUUCUCGUUUAUGGAGGUGACGAAGGGCUUGUCGUAAAUGGUUACGUUGAUGCAAGCUUUGACGCUAAUCCGGAUGACUCUAAGUCGCAAUCCGGAUACGUAUUUAUAUUGAAUGGUAGAGCUGUCGGUUGGUGUCGUUCCAAGCAGAGCGUCAUUGCGGGAUCUACGUGUGAAAGAGAGUACAUAGCUGCUUCGGAAGCAGCAAAUGAAGGAGUCUAGAUGAAGGAGUUCAUAUCUGACCUAGGUGUUAUACCUAGUGCAUCGGGUCAAAUGAAAAUCUUUUGUGAAAAUAUUGGUGCAAUUGCCUUGGCAAAGGAAUCCAGAUUUCACAAGAGAACCCAACACAUCAAGAGACGCUUCAAUUCCAUCCGUCAUCAAGUAGUGGAGGAGUGAUACGUCUCCAACGCAUCUAUAGUUUAUGAAGUAUUCAUGCCAUUAUAUUAUCAUUCUUGGAUGUUUUACAAUUAUUUUAUAGCAACUUUAUAUCAUAUUUUGGGACUAACCUAUUGAACCAGUGCUAGUUGCGGUUUUUGCUUGUUUUUUACAUCGCAGGAAAUCAAUAUCAAAUGGAGUCCAAACACCGCAUAACUUUUUGGAGAUUGUUUCUGGACCAGAAGGAACCCAAUGGGCCUGAGCUGCACUUGAGGGGUGCCCUGAGGGGGGCACAACCCACCAGGGCAUGCCAGGGCCCCCUGGCGUGCCCAGGUGGGUUGUGCCCACCUCGGUGGCCUCCCACACCCCAUCUUUGCACUAUAAAUUCCCAAAUAUUCUGAAACCCUUCAGGGUAGCCCUAGAUCAGAAGUUUCGCCACUGCAAGGCCUCUGUAUCCACGAGAUCCAAUCUAGACACCGUUCCGGCACCCUACCGAAGGGGGAAAUCAUCAUUGGUGGCCAUCUUCAUCAUCCCGGUGGCGACCACGAUGAGGAGGGAAUAGUCCACCCUUGAGGCUGAGGGUUUUUACCAAUAGCUAUGUGUUUAAUCUCUCUCUCUCUCUCAUGUUCUUGAGAUGUCACGAUCUUGAUUUAUUGAGGGCUUUGUUAAUAUAGUCGGAUCAUAUUGUGUUUUCCCUUCUCUAUCUUGUUGUAAUGAAUUGAGUUUUUUCCUUCUAGAUUUUGUUGUUAUCAGAUUGAAUACUUAUACGGAUUUGAGAACACUUGAUAUAUGUCUUGCAGUUGAAUACUCAUGGUGACAAUGGGAUAUCGUAUUGAUUCACUUGAUAUAUGUUUUGGCACUCAACUUGCGGAUUCCCGAGUUGACAUUGGGGUAAUCUAUGCAUAGGGGUUGAUGCAUGUUCCCGUCUUUUGUUUCUCCGGUAGAAAUCUUGGGGCACUCUUUGAAGUUCUUUCUGUUCGAUUGAAUAUUAUAAAUUUGAAUUUUCUUUGGUGUUAUUUUAGUACGAACUCUAGGAUAGAUCGAAUAGAAAGAAUAGCUUUGUGUUAUUUUAGUACGAACUCUUAAAUAGAUCGAACGGAAAGAAUAGCUUUGAGGUGGUUUCGUACCCUACAAACAAUUUUGUCUUAUGUUCUCUGCUAGAUAGGAAUUUUGGAGUGAUUCUUCAUCGCACUUUUAGGGAUGGUUAUAUGAUCCAACUAUGUUAGCAUUGUUGAGAGAUUGCACUAGUGAAAGUAUGCACCCUAGGCCUCAUUUUACAUCAUUGCAAUAACAUUUGUGCUCCAUUUUACCAUUUACUACCUUGUUGUUUUUUAUUGUUCGCACUACAAAAACUCAUAUCUACUAUCCAUACUACACUUUUAUCAUCAUCUCUUCGCCAAACUAGUGCACCUAUACAAUUUGCCAUUGUAUUGGGUGUGUCAGGGACACAAGAGAUUUCUUGUAUUUGAUUGCAGGGUUGCAUGAGAGAGACUAUCUUCAUACUACGCCUCCCACGGAUUGAUAAACCUUAGGUUAUCCACUUGAGGGAAAAUUGCUAUUAUCCUACAAAACUCUCCGCUUGGAGGCCCAACAUGAGUCUACAAGAAUAAAGUUGCGUUGUAGAAAUCAAGCUCUUUUCUGGCACCGUUGUCGGGGAGGUGAGUGCAUGAAGGUAUAUCUUCAGAUCUUGCAAUUGAAUAUUUUAGUUUCUUGUUUUAUCACUAGUUUGGUUUAUAAAAAUAAAACUUCAAAAGAAAUGGAGUUGAGGUUGCAUCAUAUUAUUGACCAUCUUUUUAAUAUCUUCCAUGAAAAUGAUGGAAAGGAAAAUUGUGCCCAAGUGCUAGAAGAAUAAUGCAUUAAAAUGUUUGGCACUAAAUCUUUGAAUGAUGAUCAUGAUUGCAAUGUUGUUAGUAUGAACUCUUUGAAUAUCCAUGGUACUAAUGAUGGUUGCACUAGUCAUGAUGCAAAUGUCUCUUAUAAGCAUGUCAACUUUUGUGGAGUGCAUAUAGUUCGCAAGUACAGACCGAAUUAAGAAGAUAGAUUUUGCAAGAGGCAUAAGUAUUUAGAAACUAAAUGGUUGCAAAGAGGCUAGAUGUUCGUGCUGAAAAGUAAAAAUUUCUUUGCCAUCCUUGUGAACUUUGCAAUGAACAAUAUCAUUUAAAUCUCCAAUGCAAAUUGUUUCAUGAUCGAAUCAUGUCCAAAAAUUGUGAUGACUUGAUUUCCCUUGCGCAUCAUAAUGAACUUAGUUUGCUUGUGGGUUACGAAGAAAUGAAACGUAUAACUAAGGAUCUUCCAGAAUUUGUCCUUGAUAAAGUUCUUGAUUUUGAUCUAGAGGAAAUUUAUAUGUAUUGUGCGGUGAAUUGCAUUGGAAAUCCUUAGAUUGUCAAUUAAAUAAAAAGAAUAAAACAAAUAGAACAUCAAGAGAAUAGUAAUUAAAGGCAAGAGAUUUGCCAAUAUCCUCCUAUUCUUUCUUAUGAUGAAUCAGGUAACGUGGAGGAGCUUUCUAUUCAACCAAUCUCAAUAAUAAGGAGCUCCAAAAAGAGGAUUAAACCCACACGUGAGGUGGUGAAGAAGAAGGAAAAGGAAAGAAGAAAAAGUAGAGGUGUCGGUGUCAAAACCGGAGGAUCUCGGGUAGGGGGUCCCGAACUGUGCGUCUAGGCGGAUGGUAACAGGAGACAAGGGACACGAUGUUUUUACCCAGGUUCGGGCCCUCUCGAUGGAGGUAAAACCCUACUCCUGCUUGAUUAAUAUUGAUGAUAUGGGUAGUACAAGAGUAGAUCUACCACGAGAUCAGAGAGGCCAAACCCUAGAAGCUAGCCUAUGGUAUGAUUGUUGUUCGUCCUACGGACUAAAACCCUCCGGUUUAUAUAGACACCGGAGAGGGUUAGGGUUACACAAAGUCGGUUACAAUGGGAGGAGAUGUACAUAUCCGCGUCACCAAGCUUGCCUUCCACGCCAAGGAAAGUCCCAUACGGACACGGGACAAAGUCUUCAAUCUUGUAUCUUCAUAGUCCAAGAGUCCGGCAAAAGGUCAUAGUCCGGCCAUCCGGACACCCCCUAAUCCGGGACUCCCUCAGUAGCCCCUGAACCAGGCUUCAAUGAUGGUGAGUCCAACGUGCAGAUUGUCUUCGGCAUUGCAAGGCGGGUUCCUCCUCCGAAUACUUCAUAAAAGAUUUUGAACACAAGGAUAGUGUCCGGCUCUGCAAAAUAAGUUCCACAUACCACCGUAGAGAGAAUAAUAUUUAUACAAAUCUAAUCUGCUGACGUAUUCCGUAGCGUGACAGCAUGCCACGGCCAAGCCUUUAUUCGAGUCGUUUUACUGUCCCACCUCAGUGCGUUUAGCGAGGGGGUUUCCUUGGCACGUCUUGUCAAAGAAGAGAUCGUGUCCCCUUAUUCUGGGAUUCUCAUCAAUACGGGCGUGGGUAACCCAACCGUGCCAUUAAUCAUGGUGCUUGGGAGAUAAGUGAGUUUUACCAGGCUGGCGGGGGCACAUAGUUUCGGCCACCCAUAUAAGGGGAUAAGGAUCCACCCAUUCCAUCUACGCCUUCCUCCUCCUUCGCUUAUCCAUUCCCGCACACUCGAGCUCCAGUGCCCAAGUACGCACUUCCCACCUCAACCUUCUCUAGCCAUGUCCGGAGCGGGAGGCAGGUGGAUGGCCUCCACAAUCAUGGAGGGGCACAUCAAAAAGUUGAGGAAAGCUGGAUACUUGUCCAACGACAUUGCGCACCGGCUCCCGGAUGAGGGGCAGCUCCUCCCCCAUUUCCUCCGUGGACUGGGCUUCCCACUCCACCCAUUUGUCUGGGGGAUCAUGUUCUACUACGGCCUGGAUUUCCACGACCUGGCCCCGAACUUCAUCCUCAACAUCUCGGUGUUUAUCAUCGUGUGCGAGGUCUUCCUCCGCAUCAAGCCCCACUUCGGCUUAUGGCUGAAGUGUUGGGGAACGUAGUAGAAAUUCAAAAUUUUCCUACGUGUCACCAAGAUCUAUCUAUGGAGAAACUAGCAACGAGGGGAAGGAGAGUGCAUAUAUAUACCCUUGUAGAUCGCUAAGCGGAAGCGUUCAAGAGAACGGGGUUGAAGGAGUCGUAGUCGUCGUGAUCCAAAUCACUAGAGAUCCUAGUGCCGAACGGACGGCACCUCCGCGUUCAACACACGUGCAGCCCGGUGACGUCUCCCAUGCCUCGAUCCAGCAAGGAGAGAGGGAGAGGUUGGGGAAGACUCCAUCCGGCAGCAGCACAAUGGCGUGGUGGUGGUGGAGGAGCGUGGCAAUCCUGGAGGGCUUCGCCAAGCACCGCGAGAUAUGAGGAGAAAGAGAGGUAGGUUUGCGCCAACGGGAGAAGAAACUUCGUGUGUUGGGCUGCCCCUUUGCCUCCACUAUAUAUAGGGGGAGAGGGGGGGCUGUGCCCCCACCUAGGGUUCCACCCUAGGGGCGGCGUCCAGCCCAAGAUCCCAUCUAAGGGGGCGGCCAAGGUGGGAGAGGGGAAACUUGCCCCCCAUGUUAGGUGGGUGCGCCCCCUCCCCAAACCCUAGGCGCCUUGGGCCAUUGUGGGGGGCGCACCAGCCCACCUAGGGCUUGUCCCCUCCCACACUUGGCCCAUGCAGCCCUCCGAGGAUGGUGGCCCCACUUGGUGGACCCCCGGGACCCUUCCGGUGGUCCCGGUACAUUACCGAUAAAACCUAAAACUUUUCUGGUGACCAAAACAGGACUUCCCGUAUAUAAAUCUUUACCUCCGGACCAUUCCGGAACUCCUCGUGACAUCCGGGAUCUCAUCCGGGACUCCGAACAACAUUUGGUAACCACAUACAAACUUCCUUUAUAACCCUAGCGUCAUUGAACCUUAAGUGUGUAGACCCUACGGGUUCGGGAAUCAUGCAGACAUGACCGAGACAUUCUCCGGUCAAUAACCAACAGCGGGAUCUGGAUACCCAUGUUGGCUCCCACAUGUUCCAUGGUGAUCUCAUCGGAUGAACCACGAUGUCAAGGACUCAAUCGAUCCCGUAUACCAUUCCCUUUGUCUAGUGGUAUUGUACUUGCCCAAGAUUCGAUCGUCGGUAUGCCGAUAGCUUGUUCAAUCUCGUUACCGGCAAGUCUCUUUACUCGUUCUGUAACACAUCAUCCCAUGAUCAACCCCUUGGUCACAUUGUGCACAUUAUGAGGAUGUCCUACCGAGUUGGCCCAGAGAUACCUCUCCGUCAACCGGAGUGACAAAUCCCAGUCUCCAUUCAUGCCAACCCAACAGACACUUUUGGAGAUACCUGUAGUGCACCUUUAUAGCCACCCAGUUAUGUUGUGACGUUUGGUACACCCAAAGCAUUCCUACGGUAUCCGGGAGUUGCACAAUCUCAUGGUCUAAGGAAAUGAUACUUGACAUUAGAAAAGCUUUAGCAUACGAACUGCAUGAUCUUUGUGCUAGGCUUAGGAUUGGGUCUUGUCCAUCACAUCAUUCUCCUAAUGAUGUGAUCCCGUUAUCAAUGACAUCCAAUGUCCAUGGUCAGGAAACCAUAACCAUCUGUUUGUCAACGCGCUAGUCCACUAGAGGCUUACUAGGGACAUGGUGUUGUCUAUGUACCCACACAUGUAUCUGUGUUUCCUAUCAAUACAAUUAUAGCAUGGAUAAUAAACGAUUAUCAUGAACAAGGAAAUAUAAUAAUAAUAACUAAUUUAUUAUUGCCUCUAGGUCAUAUUUCCAACAUGAAGACCUUCAUUGUCAAGCCGAAGGUGUGGGCGGCCGGCAAGCGGAGUGCGGAGGCGCCAUGGUGGGCAAGAUGCCCAACGUCACAUGGCUCGAGGGCUCCUUUGUGGAAACCAUCAAAGGGUGGCAAUCGGGGUGGUUCUACAUCACCGAGCCGCGUGACCCUAAAUGGCAGCGGCCCCCGAAUUCCAAUCUAGCAUCCCCACACGGCUCACCUCCUGGAAAGAGACGGGCUUGUCGUGGGGUAAUUCGGAAGAGGUGACUGGACUCCAAACCUGCAUCCAAAACCUGGUGGACAAGAAGGUUAAACUUGUCAACGUAGUACGGGUCAUGCUCUUCCGCCGGAUCCUCCCGUGUCAAUGACGGGCUUUCAACUUGUGGGAGUUCGACCCGGCCCAGCACCAAACUUUGUCCAGGAUCUUUGACACAAAGCACGAAGACGCUUGGAAGGUGCUAUUCAAGAGCUCUGAGGUUCCCCCUCCCAUUACCGAGGAUCGUGGAUUCUGCGCGAAGCGCCAAGCCAGUGUAGUAACUUGUUUUACCCUUUACAGGACACUUGUUCUCCAUAUUUUGACUCUAUGCGGGAUCUAAGCUCCCGCUCCUUUGACAGGACUAGAAGAAGACGUCCGGACAGAUUAACUGUCCGGCUCCUUUGCCCGAAGGCCCAGCAGAUGCACGCUUGGCGAAGCUGCUGGUCCUAGAACCUCACGUGGUGCCGGAGAAGAAGGCCAAGAAGAAGGCCACGGGAACUCAAAAGUGUUCCCGGCGCCUGGUGUGUCGGAUUCAUCGCCCGAUGACCCCGAAGCGCACUCAUCCUUCAAAAACGAGGAGGAGGAAGAAGAAGCCUCUCCCCCUCCAAUGGGGGGAGGAAAGAAAAGGAAGGCCGCCCCAACUAGGGAGGCCGGAGGGUCCAAGAAGGGGAAAACCCUUCUUCCGAACUACGCCACCGACACCAACGACAGCGGAGAGGAGUGGCCAUCCAGGGCCAAGCCCCUGGCAAAAUCGUAAGUAUCCGGAUACCAGAAUAACUCAUGGCGUUCCUUUAUUGCACAGUACCUUCUCACAUCGAAUAUAAUCACGCAGUCCGCCCAAGGCUAGGCUCGAUGCUUCGUCGAGCGGCUCCCCGGAUUCGUCGGAUGUGAAUAAUCUUUAACUCCCGACUGCUACCUCCCCUCGCCCUACGGAUGAUGCCGAGGUGGAGUCCCAAAAGGGGCUAAGCUAGGAGGAGGUGGUCCUGGAGGCACAGCAAGGCGACCUCCCGGACUCCAGGCACAAAGAGGAUGACACCCCAAAGGGAUCUAAGUCCAGCCCUGGGCCGGACACCACACCGGAACCCUCAGUGGUUCCGUAAUCUGGCAGGCGGCCCCAUAGUAAGAAGGGCAAGCCUACGACUCCAGUGACCCCCGUCCAACUGGAGGCACCGGAUAACUUGCUGGAGGUGCUUAACGGCGCCUCAAUCGACGAGGAGCACUACACUAUUAUGAGCGCGGCGAUCCAGAAGGUUCAGUCCGCAAAGAGCGGGCUAACGGAAGCAUGUGCGAGCCUUCUAACAGGCUUUGAUGUAUGUAUUUAAGAUAUGUAAAAAUAUUACCGCAUAGACAGUAGCCCCUAAUGCUUAGUUUGGUGUUUGGAAAGAAAAGCCGGACUGAGGAUCUAAAAAGAUAUACGCAGGAGUCUAACAUUAGUAUGUCAGUAUGGGAAUGCAGGCUGCGCUGCUGACCUCUGCCGCACUGACCGCGGAGGUCGAUGCAUUGAAACAGAGCCUCGAGCGGUCUAAGAAUGAGUUCGGCCUUGCCAAGAAGCAGCUCGAGGACAAGGAAGGUAAGUAGUACCUUAUGUAAGUAUAUAAAAAUACCUGGUUGCAAAUAAUCACAGGACCAAUGUGAGUGUUUACAGGGGCCACAACUGAAGUGGCGACCCUGAAGGAAGUGUUGUCCAAGGCCGAAGACAAUGCGGCCGUGGAGCGCACCGAGCGAGAGAAACAAGAGGUGCGGGUGGCGGAGGUGCGGUAAGAGCUCAAUGCUAUUGUGAAAAAACACGUUUAGAGCUUGACUCAAAGAAUCGAGAGUCUGAGCUUGCCUCGGCACUUGAAAGCGCCAAAUCUGCCAAGGCCGAAGCCCAAAAAGCCCUCCAGGAAAUUGAGGCAAUGAAAAAGAUAGCGGCGGGUAAGGCAUUCUUUAUGCAAAGCAAGAACUUGAAAGUAAAUUACUUGUUACUUACCCAAGUCUGGAGCUCUCCAGGAGCAUUCGAAGAUCUUCCCCCCUGUGUGUCCUAUGCCGCCGCAUGUUACCGAGCUGAGGAAGGGAUCUCGAUGGAGAAGGUGUUCUGGUCCUAGUAUGCUGAGGCCGGACACCCGGUGCCCCUGAGCGACAAACUGAAGCAGCUGGUCGAGCUCCAUAAGGCAGCCGAACAGGCCAUGAAGGGCCUUAUAGGCCGGCUAUUGCCUGGGGAGGACAUGCCUGGGAGCUACUUUGGGAUGGUGAGGCGGCUGGUGGAUGCCUGUCCAUGGCUUGAAAUCAUCAAGCGGUCCGUAUGCAUCGAGGGCACCCGUAGGGCCCUUGCCCGUGUUAAAGUACACUGGGGCAAGAUGGAUGCUGAGAAGAUGGUGACGGAUGGGCCACCGGAGGGGAAGGAGCAUCGCAAGCCCGAGUUGUAUUAUGAGGGUGUCCUGAAGGGUGCCUGCCUGGUGGCGAAUAAGUGUUCCAAGGAUGUAAUUUUUGAAUAAACUCGCUCGUGUUAUCCUGUGCGUUGAAAACUUGUUCAUAUGCGCUAAGCCACGCUUUUUGAAUUUAAAAUAUUACACUCUGUGUGGCCAUUUAUUAAGUCUCAGAGAUGCGAUUUGUCGGCUUCUACCCCCAUGCCAUGAGUGUUGGGGUGUUCGGGAUAAACCUGAGCGCUCUUUUUCCCAUUCUUGGGUCCUUCGACGGAGGCGCUCAGCACAAAGAUCAAGGCAAUCGGACUAUAAUGCUUUAUCACUCUCACUUAGCCAUAGAAUUCUAUAAUUUUAAAUUUCGGCGAAGCCCCUAGUAUUCGGAAGACCGAGUUCGUCACGCUAUCCACGCCUAGGCCGGACAAAGCCAGCUCCUCGCUCUAAGCGGCAUAAGUCUUUAGGGACUCGAAAACCUCUCGAACAGCGACUGGCUCUCGCCCUAUCAUGACGGUCAGUUUUAGCUUUCUCUACUGAGGUGCUUAACCCAGCUCAACUGGGGCACAAUCGCACUAGUUCUCCCAGCGCUACCUUAGCCGAUAUAGCGGAACGUAAGGUACCAAAACAUGGGAGUUGGGUAAACCCAACUAUUGACCCAAGACAUGAUUUGGAGCCGAUGCAUAUAAUGCUAUAAGUUCGGGUUGCCGCACUCGUGAGAGUGUUCGAACUUCUCACACCAUAUUCUGGGGUACAUGAGCCCCUGGUGUAUUGGCCAUACCAAAGUGUACGAUUGCAUAAUGUCAUAACUCAACAUAUUUACAUAAAAAAAUGAAUGCAAUAAUAGACAAGAGCUAUGUAUUGUUCAUUAAAAGGCUGCUAUGAAAGAAGAACGUUACAAAUAGUGCGAUAAGAGAGAGGUGGGAUUAUUUGACAUGUCCCCCUCCAGGGGCAAGCUGUGAGACUUUAAGUAAGACAGGUAUUUAGCUCAUUAUAGAGACCACCUGGACAUUUGACGUGGCUAGCUGUCUCCCUGGCUGUUUGCAUCGUGUGUUCGGCGAUUUUACUGCCGGACAGGCCUUCCUGAGAGUGGAUUCCUGAAAGUAAGAAAAGAGAAAUGACAAAAUCGGGAGCCCCUAGUGCGGUUGAGCCGCAUUCUGGGCGUGUCGUGGUUGUGCCCCUCCCCUUAUGCCCAUGGUAUUUCCAGAGCUUAAUUAUGUACGCGUGGUACUGGUUUCGCAAUCUCGCGAGGGCUGGGGUUGGGGCCGCACUGCUAUGCUUGCUCGGAACAUGCCAUACAGUCUUUUUGUAGGUUACUCCAGGUGCGCUUGACAGUGUCUGGACGUUUAACAGCCGGACUGGAGAACUGCCUUGAGAGGCUACUUUAUAUUUCCACCGCGAGGGCCGCCAUGUGCUCCUCUAUUCGGAGAGAGCGUUCGGUGUUUCCAUUGACCGUAAUGACUCCUCGAGGGCCUGGCAUCUUGAGCUUGAGGUAUGCGUAGUGCGGCACCGGAUUGAACUUUGCAAAUGCGGUUCGCCCGAGCAGGGCGUGAUAGCCACUGCGGAACGGGACUAUGUCAAAGAUUAACUCCUUUCUUCGGAAAUUAUCCGGGGAUCCGAAGACCACUUCGAGUGUAACUGAGCCUGUACAGCUGGCCUCUACACCUGGUAUGACGCCUUUAAAGGUCGUCUUUGUGGGUUUAAUCUGUGAGGAAUCUAUGCCCAUUUUUUGCAUUGUAUCCUGGUAAAGCAGGUUCAGGUUGCUGCCGCCGUCCAUGAGGACUCUAGUGAGAUGAAAUCCGUCAAUGAUUGGGUCUAGAACAAAUGCAGCGAACCCGCCAUGACGGAUUCUAGUGGGGUGGUCCCUUCGAUCAAAAGUGAUCGGGCAGGAGGACCAUGGGUUGAACUUUGGGGCGACUGGCUCCAACGCAUAUACGUCCCUGAGUGCACGCUUCUGCUACCUUUUGGGGAUGUGGGUUGCGUAUAUCAUGUUUACUGUCCGCACUUGUGGGGGAAAACCCUUCUGUCCCCUAUUAUUCGGCGGCCGGGGCUCCUCCUCAUCAUCGCUAUGCAGCCCCUUAUCUCUGUUUUCGGCACUUAACUUGCCUGCCUGCUUGAACACCCAACAAUCCUUGUUGGUGUGAUUGGCUGGUUGUUCGGGGGAGCCGUGUAUCUGGCAUGAGCUAUCGAGUAUCUGGUCCAAACUGGACGGGCCCGGAUUAUUUCUUUUGAAUGGCUUUUUCCGCUGACCGGGUUUAGAGCCUCUGAAUCCGGCAUUAACUGUCGUAUCCUCAGUAUUGUCGCCAUUAAUGCGGCGCUUGUGCUUGUUGUGAUAUGACCUGCCAUUGUUGUCCUUGGUAUCCGAAUUACCAGGGCUCUUGGUCAUGUUAUUACUACGAGCUAGCCAGCUGUCUACUCCCGCGCAAAAGCGGGUCAUUAGUGUUGUGAGGGCUGCCAUGGAUUUUGGAUUUUCCUGUCCUAGGUGCCGGGCAAGCCAUUCGUCAGGGAUGUUAUGUUUGAAGGCUGCAAGGGCCUCUGCGUCCGGACAGUCCACUAUUUGAUUUUUCUUGGUUAGGAACCGUGUCCAGAAUUGUCUGGCCGAUUCAUCUGGCUGCUGAAUUAUGUGUCUUAGGUCAUCGGCGUCUGGUGGUCGCACAUAGGUGCCCUGGAAAUUGUCGAGGAAUGCGGAUUCCAGGUCCUCCAAGCAACCAAUUGACUCUGCUGGCAAGCUGUUAAGCCAAUGUCGAGCUGGUCCUUUAAGCUUGAGUGGGAGGUAUUUGAUAGCGUGUAGAUCAUCACCACGGGCCAUGUGGAUAUGAAGGAGAUAAUCCUCGAUCCAUACCGCAGGAUCUGUUGUGCCAUCGUAUGAUUCGAUGUUUACGAGUUUAAAACCCUCGGGGAUUUGAUGAUCCAUUACUUCGUUUGUGAAGCAUAGUGGGUGUGCGGCGCCUCUGUACUGGGCUAUAUCACGACGUAGCUCAUAUGAGCUUUGCCUGCCGUGUUCGGCCUAGCCAUAUUUGCCAUAUCCGGCAUGACGGUUAUCGUCACAUGUCAUGGGGUGCCCAUGCGAUCCAUAGAUCGAUCUUGUUUGCCUUGCCUUGUCCUCCAAUAUGUCUCGCAGGUCUGGCGCGUUUCCCUGUGCCUUGGUAUUUUUUGAGCGGCGCCGGGGUGCGGCUUGAAUGGAUGGCCGAGAGGCCUCUCUUUCGCGACCACGAUGUGGCCGGUCGGCCGCAUCCUGCAUUGGUGACAUAGGUUUAGCUGCUUCCUCCUCUAAUUGGGGUAGUAGCCUUUGAUUUGGGUAGCUCUUGGAGGGGCGUUCGAGUUUGUACUCUUCGGCCACAAGGACUUCAGUCCAUCUGUCGGCUAGCAAAUCUUGGUCAGCUCUAAGCUGCUGCUGUUUUUACUUGAGGCUACUCGUCGUGGCCAUAAGCCUGCCUUGGAAACGCUCUUGUUCGACGGGAUCCUUAGGCACGACGAAUUCAUCGUCGGCGAGGCUUGCCUCGUUUUCGGAGGGAGGCAUGUAAUUAUCGUCCUCUACCUCUCUGCCUGCCGCUCUCUUAUGAGGGCUGGAUUCUCCAUCAUCCUGCGCUGAAUCCUGCUGGAGGGGGUUGUCUUCGGCACUGUUCGGGGUGUUAUUGUCUCCGGUGCCGGAAUCACUGUUUUUGCUUUGGCGGGAUUUAGAGCGGCGCCGCUGACGCCGGCACUUAGGCCGCUUCUUGGAGGGGUCAUCCUCCGUUGUUCCAUUGCCAUUUCCUUCUUUUGGGGUGUCCACCAUGUAUAUGUCAUAUGAUGAGGUGGCUUUCCAGUGCCCUAUAGGUGCUGGUUCUUGGUCGUCUCCUGCAUUGUUGUCCAUACCGUCGAUGUAUUCGGAGUCGAAGUCGAGCAUGUCGGUUAAAUCAUCGACAGUGGCUACGGAGUGGGUGGUGGGUGGGCUUCGAAUUUCUUCGUCGUCUGCAUUCCAACCUUGCUGACCGUAGUCCGGCCAGGGCUCUCCUAAUAAAGAGAGAGACUUCAGUGAAUUCAGGAUGGUGCCAAAGGGCGAGUGUUGUAUGAUGUCCGCGGCGGUGAACUCCAUGAUCGGCGCCCAAUUGGGUUCGAUCGGCAGGGGCGCGGAAGGUUCGGAGUCUGGAAAGGAGUCCGGCACCUUCGAGUGACGAGCUUCGCAAAGGACAGGGCUGGUAUUCGGCUCGAUCGCCGUAGAGAUUGCAGCCCUCGAGGCGGUGUCCAACCAUCCGUCCUCGAUUGGCGCAGUCGGCUCCGAGCUAAAGGUCGGAACGGACGCCGGGGCGGCCUCCAGGUCACUGUUCGGCGGCAGAGCUAGAUCAUACCCGUCCUGACAGUGUGGCGCGCUUGGUUGUGGCUCGAAUCCAUCGAAGAUCAAGUCCUCGCGGAUGUCGGCGGUGUAGUUCAAACUCCCAAAUAUGACCUAAUUGCCAGGGGCGUAGCUUUCGAUCUGCUACAGAUGGCUAAGCGAAUUGGCCCGCAGUGCAAAGCCGCUGAAUACGAAGAACUAUCCGGGGAGAAAAGUCUCACCCUGGGCCGCAUCAUGGUUGAUGAUCGAAGGUUCCAUCGGGCCUAAAGGUGAUGACACAGAGGAACUCUCAAUGAAAGCACCAAUGUCGGUGUCAAAACUGGUGGAACUCGGCUAGUGGGUCCCGAACUAUGCAUCUAGGCGGAUGGUAAUAGGAGACAAGUGACACAAUGUUUUUACCCAGUUCGGGCCCUCUCGAUGGAGGUAAAACCCUACUCUUGCUUGAUUAAUAUUGAUGAUAUGGGUAGUACAAGAGUAGACCUACCACGAGAUCAGAGAGGCUAAACCCUAGAAGCUAGCCUAUGAUAUGAUUGUUGUUCGCCCUACGGACUAAACCCCUCCGGUUUAUAUAGACAUCGGAGAGGGCUAGGGUUACACAGAGUCAGUUACAAUGGGAGGAGAUCUACAUAUCUGCAUCGCCAAGCUUGCCUUCCACGCCAAGGAAAGUCCCAUCCGGACACAUGACGAAGUCUUCAAUCUUGUAUCUUCAUAGUCCAGGAGUCCGGUCAAAGGUCAUAGUCCGGCCAUCCGGACACCCCCUAAUCCGGGACUCCCUCAAGAGGUAAAAAGGUAACUCUCCCAAGUAAUAUUGCUCCUAUCACCAUUGUGCCUCAUGUAAGUGAAUCAAAUAUGUUGAUGGAGGAUGAUGAUAUUGAGUAUGAUUUUGUGAUGCCUACUACUUGUUGUCAUGAUUAUGAUUGGGAAGACAAUGAUGUCCCUUAUGACCUUGAAGAUCUUUUUGGCACUUGCUUGGAAGAAUAUGAUAAUAAUAUUUGCUAUAGCAUUGGUGCCAUUCAUGCUAUUGACAAAACCACAAGCUUGGGAAUGCUAUGUUUUAUGAGUAUGAAACGUUUGAAGAUUUAUUUCCUGAAAAUAAUGCUUGUCCCAAGCUUGGGGAUGCUUUGCAUAAUGAAUAUGAUCCUUUGAUUCCUUCUACUUUCAAUAAGAACAUUUAUUAUGAUGAUAGCAUGCGUCCUGUUUAUGAUGAUUACAAUGAUGAAAGUGGGUUUGGAAGAGUGACAACUGUAGGUAUUAGUGAUCCCACUAUUUUAGAGGGUGUUAAAUCUUAUUACAAUAUUGAUGAAAGUGGACUUGGAGAGGUCAUGACUUUAUUUACUGAUACAUCCACUAUUUUGGAAGAGGUUUCAAUUGACUAUGAUGAGAACAAACUUUCUACUUAUGAUGAUUACUAUGAUAACAUGUAUGCUAUAAAGAGUAAUAAAUUAUCUAUGCUUUUGGAUCAUGAAAAGAGUGCUUUAUGUGAUGGUUAUAUGGAUGAAUCUAUACUUGAUGCUACCGAAAAUUAUUAUGAGAGAGGAACUUAUGAUUCAUGAUGCUCUUCCUAUGUUUCAAUCUUUAUCUUUUAUGCGUGCAUCAUUGAACUCAUCAUGCCUAGCUAAAAGGAAUUAAAGAAAAGCGCUUGUUGGGAGACAAUCCAAAACUUUUACCUACUGUUUUUGAACGUUUACAUGAUUAUGCUUGUAACGCCCGGAUAAUUAUGCUACAGUUGUUCGGGAACGUAGUAAUUUCAAAAUUUUCCUACGCACACGCAAGAUCAUGGUGAUGUAUAGCAAUGAGAGGGGAGAGUGUGUCCACGUACCCUCGUAGACCGAAAGCGGAAGCGUUAUGACAACGCGGUUGAAGUAGUCGUACGUCUUCAUGAUCCAAUCGUUCCAAGCACCGAACGUACGGCACCUCCGAGUUCAGCACACGUUCAGCUCGAUGACGAUCCCCGGACUCCGAUCAGCACACGUUCAGCACGAUGGCGUGAUGACGAUGAUGAUGUUCUAUCGAUGCAGGGCUUCGCCUAAGCACCGCAACGAUAUGACCGAGGUGGAAUAUGGUGGAGGGGGGCACCGCACACGGCUAAGGAACGAUCACGAAGAUCAACUUCUGUUCUUGAGGUGCCCCUCCCCCGCACCCGUAUAUAUAGGAGCCAAGGGGGAGGGGGCGGCCGGCCAAGGAGGGCGCGCCAAGGAGGAUUCCUACUCCCACCGGGAGUAGGAUCCCCCCCUUCCAAGUAAUAGGAGUAGGGGCCAAGGAAGGGGGAAGAGAAGAGAAGGAAGGAGGGGGCGCAGCCCCUCCCCCUAGUCCAAUUCGGACUAGGCCUUGGGGCGCGCCUAGCCUCUCCUCUCUCUUUCCCCUAAAGCCCAAUAAGGCCCAUAUACUCCCUGGCGAAUUCCCGUAACUCUCCGGUACUCCGAAUAAUACCCGAAUCACUCGGAACCUUUCCGAACUCCAAAUAUAGUCGUCCAAUAUAUCGGUCUUGACGUCUCAACCAUUUCGAGACUCCUCGUCAUGUCCCCGAUCUCAUCCGGGACUCCGAACUCCUUCGGUACAUCAAAAAUCAUAAACUCAUAAUAUAACUGUCAUCGAAACCUUAAGCGUGCGGACCCUACGGGUUCGAGAACAAUGUAGACAUGACCUAGAACAGUUUCCGGUCAAUAACCAAUAGCGGAACCUGGAUGCUCAUAUUGGCUCCUACAUAUUCUACGAAGAUCUUUAUCGGUCAAACCGCAUAACAACAUAUGUUGUUCCCUUUGUCAUCGGUAUGUUACUUGCCCAAGAUUCGAUCGUCGGUAUCCAAUACCUAGUUCAAUAUCGUUACCGGUAUGUCUCUUUACUCGUUACGUAAUGCAUCAUUCCGUAACCAACUCAUUGGCCACAUUGCUUGCAAGGCUUAUAGUGAUGUGCAUUACCGAGACGGCCCAGAGAUACCUCUCCGACAAUCGGAGUGACAAAACCUAAUCUCGAAAUACGCCAACUGAACAUUUAUCUUUGGAGACACCUGUAGAGCUCCUUUAUAAUCACCCAGUUACGUUGUGACAAUUGGUAGCACACAAAGUGUUCCUCCGGUAAACGAGAGUUGCAUAAUCUCAUAGUUGUAAGAACUUUGUAUAAGUCAUGAAGAAAGUAAUAGCAACAUACUAAAAGAACAACUGCUAGGCUAACGGAAUGGGUCAAGUCAAUCACAUCAUUCUCCUAAUGAUGUGACCCCGUUAAUCAAAUGACAACUCUUUUGUCCAUGGCUAGGAAACAUAACCAUCUUUGAUAAAUGAGCUAGUCAAGUAGAGGCGUACUAGUGACACUAUGUUUGUCUAUGUAUUCACACAUGUAUUAUGUUUCCGGUUAAUACAAUUCUAGCAUGAAUAAUAAACAUUUAUCAUGAUAUAAGGAAAUAAAUAAUAACUUUAUUAUUGUCUCUAGGGCAUAUUUCCUUCAGUCUCCCACUUGCACUAGAGUCAAUAAUCUAGUUCACAUCAUCAUGUGAUUUAACACCAAUAUUCAUAUUUGUAUAUGAUUAACACCCGUAGUUCACAUCGUCAUGUGACCAACACCCAAAGGGUUUACUAGAGUCAACAAUCUAGUUCACAUUGCUAUGUGAUUAACACCCAAAGAGUACUAAGGUAUGAUCAUGUUUUGCUUGUGAGAGAAGUUUAGUCAACAGGUUUGUCACAUACAGAGCCGUAUGUAUUUUGCAAAUAUUCUAUGUCUACAAUGCUCUGCACGGAGCUACCAUAGCUAAUUGCUCCCACUUUCAAUAUGUAUCCAGAUUGCGACUUAGAGUCAUCUGGAUCAGUGAAAAAGUUUGCACCGAUGUAAAUUUUACGACGAACUCUUUUAUCACCUCCAUAAUCGAGAAACAUCUCCUUAGUCCUCACUAAGGAUAUUCUUGACCGCUGUCCAGUGAUCUACUCUUAGAUCAAAAUUGUAUUCCUUUGCCAAACUCAGAGCAAGGUAUACAAUAAGACUGGUUCACACCAUAGCAUACUUUAUAGAACUUAUGACUGAGGCAUAGGGAAUAACUUUUCAUUCUCUUUCUAUUUUCUGCUAUGGUCGGGUCUUGAGUCUUACUCAAUUUCACAGCUUGCAACAUAGGCAAGAACUCCUUGUUUGACUGUUCCAUUUUGUACUACUUCAAAAUAUUAUCAAGUUAUGUACUCAUUGAAAAAAUCUUAUCAAGCAUCUUGAUCUAUCUAUGUAGAUCGUAAUGCUCAAUGUGUAAGCAGCUUCACCGAGGUCUUUUUUUGAAAAAUUCCUUUCAAACACUCCUAUAUGCUUUCAAGAAAAUUCUACACCAUUUCCAAUUAAUAAUAUGUCAUUCACAUAUACAUAUCAGAAAGGCUGUAGUACUCCCACUCACUUUCUUGUAAAUACAGGCCUUCCCAAAAGUCUGUAUAAAACCAUAUGCUUUGAUCAACUCAUCAAAGCGUAUAUUCCAACUCCAAGAUGCUUGCACCAGUCCAUUGAUGGAUCAUUGGAGCUUGCACAUUUUGUUAGCACCUUUAGGAUUAACAAAACCUUCUGGUUGCAUCAUAUUCAACUCUUCUUUAAAAAAAUCCAUUAAGGAAUGCAGUUUUGACAUCCAUUUGCCAGAUUUCAUAAAAUGUGGCAAUUGCUAACAUGAUUCGGACGGACUUAAGCAUCGAUACGAGUGAGAAAAUCUCAUCGUAUUCAACACCUUGAACUUGUCGAAAACCUUUCACAGCAAGUCGAGCUUAGUAGAUAGUAACACUACUAUCAGUGUCCGUCUUCCUCUUGAAGAUCCAUUUAUUUAACAUGGCUUGCUGAUCAUCAAGCAAGUCAAUCAAAGUCCAUACUUUGUUCUCAUACAUGGAUCAUAUCUCAGAUUUUAUGGCCUCAAGCCAUUUCGCGGAAUCUGGGCUCAUCAUCGCUUCCUCAUAGUUUGUAGGUUCAUCAUGGUCUAGUAACAUGACUUCCAGAACAUGAUUACCGUACCACUUUGGUGUGGAUCUUAUUCUAGAAGACCUACGAGGUUCGGUAGUAACUUGAUCUGAAGCUUCAUGAUCAUCAUCAUUAGCUUCCUCACUAAUUGGUGUAGGAAUCACAGGAACUGAUUUCUGUGAUGAACUACUUUCCAAUAAGGGAGCAGGUACAGUUACCUCAUCAAGUUCUACUUUCCUCCCGCUCACUUCUUUCGAGAGAAACUCCUUCUCUAGAAAGGAUCCAUUCUUAGCAACAAAGAUUUUGCCUUCGGAUCUGUGAUAGAAGGUGUACCCAACAGUUUCCUUUGGGUAUUCUAUGAAGACGCACUUCUCCGAUUUGGGUUUGAUGUUAUCAUGCUGAAACCUUUUCACAUAAGCAUUGCAACCCCAAACUCUAAGAAACGACAGAUUAGGUUCAUUGCUAAACCAUAGUUCAUACGGUGUCGUCUCAGCGGAUUUAGAUGGUUCCCUAUUUAAUGUGAAUGCAGAUGUCUCUAAUGCAUAACCCCAAAACAAUAGUGGUAAACCGAUAAGAGACAUCAUAGAUCGCACCAUAUCCAAUAAAGUGCGGUUACAACGUUCGGACACACCAUAAUGUUGUGGUGUUCCAGGUGGCAUGAGUUGUGAAACUAUUCCACAUAGUUUUAUAUGAAGGCCAAACUCGUAACUCAGAUAUUUGUCUCCGCGAUCAAAUCACAGAAACUUUAUUUUCUUGUUACGAUGAUUCUUCACUUCACUCUGAAAUUCUUUGAACUUUUCAAAAUGUUUCAGACGUGUGCUUCAUUAAGUAGAUAUACUCAUAUAUGCUCAAAUCAUCUUGUGAAGGUCAAAAAAUAACGAUACUCGCCACGAGCAUCAACACUCAUUGGAUCGCAUACAUAGGUAUGUAUUAUUUCCAAUAAAUCAGUAGCUCGUUCCAUUGUUCUGAAGAACGGAGUUUUAGUCAUCUUGCCCAAAAGGCACGAUUCGCAAGCAUCAAAUGAUUCAUAAGCAAGUGAUUCCAAAAACCCAUCAGCAUGGAGUUUCUUCAUGCGCUUUACACAGAUGUGACAAAAACGGCAGUACCACAAAUAAGUUGCACUAUCAUUAUCAACUUUGCAUCCUUUGGCAUCAAUAUUAUGAUUAUGUGUAUCACUACGAUCGAGAUCCAACAAACCAUUUUCAUUGGGUGUAUGACCAUUGAAGGUUUUAUUCAUGUAAACAGAACAACAAUUAUUCUCUGAUUUUAAAUGAAUAACCAUUUUGCAAUAAACAUAAUCAAAUCAUAUUCAUGCUCAACGCAAACGCCAAAUAACAUUUAGUUUGGUUCAACACUAAUCCCGAAAGUAUAGGGAGUGUGCGAUGACGAUCAUAUCAAACUUGGAACCACUUCCAACACACAUCGUCACUUCACCCUCAACUAGUCUCUAUUUAUUCUGUAACUCCUGUUUCGAGUUACUAAUUUUUAGCAACCGAACAAGUAUCAAAUACUCAGGGGCUACUAUAAACACUAGUAAGGUACACAUCAAUAACCUGUAUAUCAAAUAUACAUUUGUUCACUUUGCCAUCCUUCUUAUCCACCAAAUAUUUAGGGUAUUUCCGUUUCCAGUGACCAUUUCCUUUGAAGUGUAAGCACACAGUUUCAGGCUUUGGUUCAUCUUUGGGCUUCUUCGUGGGAGUGACAACUUGCUUGUCAUUCUAGUUGAAGUUCCCUUUCUUUCCCUUUGCCCUUUUCUUGAAACUAGUGAUCUUGUCAACCAUCAACACUUGAUGCUCUUUCUUGAUUUCUACCUUCGUCGAUUCCAACAUCACGAAGAGCUUGGGAAUCGUUUUCUUCAUCCCUUGCAUAAUAUAGUUCAUCACAAAGUUCUACUAACUUGGUGAUGGUGACUAGAGAAUUCUGUCAAUCACUAUCUUAUCUCGAAGAUUAACUCCCACUGGAUUCAAGCGAUUGUAGUACCAAGACAAUCUGAGCACAUGCUCACUAGUUGAGCGAUUCUCCUCCAUCUUUUAGCCUUAGAACUUGUUGGAGACUUCAUAUCUCUCAACUCAGGUAUUUGCUUGAAAUAUUAACUUCAACUCCUGGAACAUCUCAUAUGGUCCAUGACGUUCAGAACGACUUUGAAGUCCCGAUUCUAAGCCGUUAAGCAUGGUGCACUAAACUAUCAAGUAUUCAUCAUAUUGAGCUAGCCAAACGUUCAUAACGUCUGCAUCUGCUCCUGCAAUAGGUCUGUCACCUAACGGUGCAUUAAGGACAUAUCUCUUCUGUGCAGCAAUGAGGAUAAACCUCAGAUCAUGGAUCCAAUCCGCAUCAUUGCUACUAACAUCUUUCAACACAAUUUUCUCUAGGAACAUAUCAAAAUAAACAUAUGAAAGCAACAACACAAGCUAUUGAUCUUCAACAUAAUUUCCAAAAUACUACAAGGACUAAGUUCAUGAUAAAUUUAUGUGCAAUUAAUCAUAUUACUUAAGAACUCCCACUUAGACAUACAUCUCUCUAGUCAUCUAAGUGAUCACGUGAUCCAAAUCAACUAAACCAUGUCCGAUCAUCACGUGAGAUGGAGAAGUUUUCAAUGGUGAACAUCACUAUGUUGAUCAUAUCUACUAUAUGAUUCACGCUCGACUUUUCGGUCUCUGUGUUCCGAGGCCAUAUCUGUAUAUGCUAGGCUCGUCAAGUUUUAACCUGAGUAUUUUGCGUGUGCAACUGUUUUGCACCCGUUGUAUUUGAACGUAGAGCCUAUCACACCCGAUCAUCACGUGGUGUCUUAGCAUGAAGAACUUUCACAACGGUGCAUACUUAGGGAGAACACUUCUUGAUAAUUUAGUGAGAUAUCAUCUUAAAAUGCUACCGUCAAUCAAAGCAAGAUAAGAUGCAUAAAGGAUAAACAUCACAUGCAAUCAAUAUAAGUGAUAUGGUAUGGCCAUCAUCAUCUUGUUCUUGUGGUCUCCAUCUCCAAAGCACCGUCGUGAUCACCAUCGUCACCGGCGCGACACCUUGAUCUCCAUCGUAGCAUCGUUGUCGUUAUGCCAUCUAUUGCUUCUACGACUAUCGCUACCGCUUAGUGAUAAAGUAAAGCAAUUACAGGGCGUUUGCAUUUCAUACUAUAGAGCGACGACCAUAUGGCUCCUGCCAGUUGCCGAUAACUUCGGUUACAAAACAAGAUCAUCUCAUACAAUAAAAUAUAGCAUCACGUCUUGACCAUAUCACAUCACAACAUGCCCUGCAAAAACAAGUUAGACGUCCUCUACUUUGUUGUUGCAAAUAUUACGUGGCUGCUACGGGCUGAGCAAGAACCGUUCUUACCUACGCAUCAAAACCACAACGAUAGUUUGUUAAGUUAGUGUUGUUUUAACCUUCGCAAGGACCGGGCGUAGCCACACUCGGUUCAACUAUAUUUGGAGAAACAGACACCCGCUAGUCACCAGUGUGCGAAGCACGGCGGUAAAACCAGUCUCGCGUAAGCGUACAUGUAAUGUUGGUCCGGGCCGCUUCAUCCAACAAUACGGCUGAACAAAAGUAUGACAUGCUGGUAAGCAGUAUGACUUGUAUCGCCCACAACUCACUUGUGUUCUACUCAUGCAAAUAACAUCAACGCAUAAAACCUGGCUCGGAUGCCACUGUCGGGGAACGUAGUAAUUUCAAAAUUUUCCUACGCACACGCAAGAUCAUGGUGAUGUAUAGCAACGAGAGGGGAGAGUGUGUCCACGUACCCUCAUAGACCAAAAGCAGAAGCGUUAUGACAACGCGGUUGAUGUAGUCGGACGUCUUCACGAUGCGACCGAUCCAAGCACCGAACGUACGGCACCUCCGAGUUCAGCACACGUUCAGCUCGAUGACGAUCCCCGGACUCCGAUCCAGCAGGGUGUCGGGGAUGAGUUCCGUCAACACGACGGUGUGAUGACGAUGAUGAUGUUCUACCGACGCAGGGCUUCGCCUAUGCACAGCAACGAUAUGACCGAGGUGGAAUAUGGUGGAGGGGGGCACCGCACACGGCUAAGGAACGAUCAUGAAGAUCAACUUCUGUUCUAGAGGUGCCCCCCUGCGCCCGUAUAUAAAGGAGCCAAGUGGGAGGGGGCGGCCGGCCAAGGAGGGCGCGCCAAGGAGGAGUCCUACUCCCACCGGGAGUAGGAUUCCCCCCCUUCCAAGUAAUAGUAGUAGGAGUCAAGGGAAGGGGGAAGAGAAGAGAAGGAAGGAGGGGGCGCAGCCCCUCCCCCUAGUCCAAUUCGGACUAGGCCUUGGGGGGCGCCUAGCCUCUUCUCUCUCUUUCCCCUAAAGCCCAAUAAGGCCCAUAUACUCCCCGGCGAAUUCCCGUAACUCUCCGGUACUCCAAAAAAUACCCGAAUCACUCGGAACCUUUCCGAACUCCGAAUAUAGUCAUCCAAUAUAUCGAUCUUUACGUCUCGACCAUUUUGAGAUUCCUCAUUAUGUCCCCGAUCUCAUCCGGGACUCCGAACUCCUUUCGUACAUCAAAAAUCAUAAACUCAUAAUAUAACUGUCAUCGAAACCUUAAGCGUGCGGACCCUACAGGUUCGAGAACAAUGUAGACAUGACGUAGAACAGUUUCCGGUCAAUAACCAAUAGCGGAACCUGGAUGCUCAUAUUGGCUCCAACAUAUUCUACGAAGUUCUUUAUCUGUCAAACUGCAUAACAACAUACGUUGUUCCCUUUGUCAUCGGUAUGUUACUUGCCCGAGAUUCGAUCGUCAGUAUCCAAUACCUAGUUCAAUCUCAUUACCGGUAAGUCUCUUUACUCGUUACAUAAUGCAUCAUUACAUAACCAACUCAUUGGCCACAUUCCUUGCAAGGCUUAUAGUGAUGUGCAUUACCGAGAGGGCCCAGAGAUACCUCUCUGACAAUCGGAGUGACAAAACCUAAUCUCGAAAUACGCCAACUCAACAUCUAUCUUUGGAGACACCUGUAGAGCUCCUUUAUAAUCACCCAGUUACGUUGUGACAUUUGGUAGCACACAAAGUGUUCCUCGGUAAACGGGAGUUGCAUAAUCUCAUAGUUGUAGGAACUUUGUAUAAGUCAUGAAGAAAGCAAUAGCAACAUACUAAAAGAUCAAGUGCUAGGCUAAUGGAAUGGGUCAAGUCAAUCACAUCAAUCUCCUAAUGAUGUGAUUCCGUUAAUCAAAUGACAACUCUUUUGUCCAUGGCUAGGAAACAUAACCAUCUUUGAUAAACGAGCUAGUCAAGUAGAGGCAUACUAGUGACACUAUGUUUGUCUAUGUAUUCACACAUGUAUUAUGUUUCCAGUUAAUACAAUUCUAGCGUGAAUAAUAAACAUUUAUCAUGAUAUAAGGAAAUAAAUAAUAACUUUAUUAUUGUCUCUAGGGCAUAUUUCCUUCAACAGUAAGCCCCUCUUAAUGGUGCCAUGUCAUCGAAUUUACUGAGGUUAAGUUUGCAUUGAUUCAAAGUUGGUUCCGAUUUCAAAUUUGAAUGCGUAAAAAGAAAAGGCAAAAGUAAGUAAAAUAAAAAGAGUAGGCGAAUCAAAAAAAGGAAAGAAAAGGUUUCCCAUUGGGCCUUGGCCUAGUUGACCAAGCCGCUAGGCCACCUGACUGGCCCAUCUCUCCCUCCCCUUAACCACCAUGCCCCACUAACUCUAGCCAGAUCCCGCACCGUCGCUGGUGUCCCGACGCCGGCUGUCACUCUGUCGCCUCCCCAACAUCGAGUUGGCACCCCGCCACCUCAACGCCCCAUCCGUAACCGCACCGUCGCCGGACCCCACUGGAUUGCCUCGUCCCCGUCACUCGCGCCCCCGCCUCCUCCUCGCCGGCGCCAUCGUUCCUCACCGACCCCGAUCCCCUACAAACAAGGUGAGCUGCACCCCCUCCUCCCGCUCUCUGCCUCCCGGUGCCGUUCGCCAUGCACGCAGAUGCAGCGUGCACGACGCAGCCCUGCACGAUGCUGCCAGCCCACGGCCCUCCCGUCAUGCCCCCCCAUCCCCGCCUUGGCUUCGCCCUGCACUACUAGGCCGCGCAUGCCUACCCUCACCUCUGCUGCUCGCCCCCCUCCAUGUUGAUGCACCCUAUCGUCGCCUUCCCCGAGCGCCUCGCCGCAGCCACGCUUGUCCGUGCCCGCGCACCGACCACCCCGCACGCGCCACUGCAUGCUGCUCCUUCCGCCUUGCUGCGCCCGCGCCGCUGCCGCCCCUACGUAGCCUCCUCCUGCCACGGCCGGCCGGUGAGUCGCGCCGCCAUACACGCACCCCGGCGCACACACGCGCCCGAGCGUGUUCGGGCGGGCGCCAACACCCACGGCCCGUGUAACACCCCCGAUACAACUUUCCAUAUUCGUAACUCCGACUCUUGCCAUUUCCGGCUAUGUGAUUUAUUAUUUCCUCCGUGGUUGGGUUUUGUCUGUUGUUUUGCAUUUUGUUCUUGUUAUGCAUCUCGUCUCAUGUCAUCAUUCGCAUUGCAUCGGCAUCAUUUUCAUAAAUCUUGCAUCCGUUCGGGUUCCGCCGGUUCUCUCCAUUGUCCGUUCUGAGCCCGACCAUACUCGCACGCGCCGCGGCACCUCCGAAAUAUUAUUUUAUAAGUGGCAUAAAAAUGCUCUCGGAAUGGGUUGCAACUUGUCAUGCGGUCUUAUUAUAGUGUAGACAGACCGCCUACCAAAUAUCAUCGCAUUCGGAGUCCGUUUGGUAGCCCAACCGUCAUCCGUAGCGGCACCGUUGCCGGUUUAAUCAUCGGACGCUUUCGCUCUCCGAAAACCCUGCCGGGCUGCCUUCCUCUUCUCUUCUCUCAUCCCAAGGCCUCAUCUACACAGCCCUCCUGCAGCCCACCUAAACCCCCUCCGUUCCUGAUCGCCAGAUCGUGAUCCGAGGGUCCGAAACGGCCUCAAAACCCCCUAAACCCUAGCUUUUACCCUAUAUAUAGACCCCCUCAUGCCAUUUUGGGCAUCUCCUAGCCCUUCCCCUACCUCCUAGCACCUCCUCCUCAUAUUCCGCGCCGACCGAACCUAGCCCCGCCACUUGUCGCCCCCUCCUCGCCUGCACCACCGCUCUCCACCUCACGAGCGCCACUUGGCGCAUAGCCAUUGGUUGCGCCACCGCCUGAGGCGUCGCCCCGGCCAACCGGGCACCGCCACGUCGCCUCCCCCGCCACCUCAUCGCCCCGCAGCCACCUCUCCACCGUGCGGCCCGCUGGGGUCCGGAUCUGGCCCGCCCGGCCCAAGACCGCGCCGCCGCAGCCCGCGAGGGCCCGAGCGCCCCGCGCCUCCGGCUCCCGAUCUGGAUCGAGGGGAGGAGCCCCUCGACCCCGAGCCCUCGUCACCGGUGCACGUCGCAUCGCCCCGGCCUCCUCCUUCCUCUGCCUCGACGUGCCUCCCUCGCAGGAGCGCGCCCCCGCCGCAGUCUCCCCUCGCCGCGCCUUGCCUACGACGCCGCUCCACCGACGAGCGCCUCCCUGCGCUGCCACGAACCAGCCUUUGACCUCCUUCGCCUCCCGGCCGUCACCCGCACCUGGCCGGUGACCUCGCCGACCCUCCGGUGCCGCCAACCCCGGGAACGGGACCCCCCGGCCCGGAUCUGCCGUCCCGGACCGCCUCGCCUCGCCGGAUCGAGCCACCAUCGCCGCUCGCCCUUUGACUGCAUUGUCACAUCCCUAACUUCUGGUAAUGCUCUAGGCUAGCUUCAUGUGUGCAUCAUGUCUAUAUUUUUGAAACUUGAAUUGAGGAAUAUUGGAAGCCUCAAAACCCUAAAUAAAAGAGGGGCAAAAACCCUAGAAAUCUCAUUCAUUGCUCCAAAAGGCUCUUCUUAAAUGUUUGAUAAUUUUUGGUAAGGGUUCUGGUCCCAACCAAAAUAUUGAACAUUUUUGAGGAAUUAUUUUUUGGGAUUUUGGAUUUAAUUCAUUAGCUAUUUGAAUUUGAAUUAUAUUCAUAUAAUUAGAAUAUAAUUUCAAAUACCCCCUGAAAUAUUUUAUAAGCUUUUGGAAAAGUACAUCUAGCAAUAUAAAAUAUUCAGAGGAGCUUUGGCAUUGUUUGAAUUAUUAUUUUAAUUCAAAACAGUGGCAACAUAAAUUAAAUAAAACAAACAGAACAAAAAAAAUAAAAAAAAGAGCAAACUACCUGGCCACUUACCUGGCGCAGCCCGCCUGGCAGCCCACUGGCCGGCCCAGCACUGUGCUGGCCCGUGCCAGCCACCUGCUUCCUCUCGCCAGGCAGGCAGAGAGGAGCGCGCCCGCGCACGCCAAGCUCGCCACGCAGCUCCCUGGCCGCCUGCCUCGCCUGGACAGCGUGGCGACGCCUCGAAGCCACUCCUCGGCACUGCCCCGACCCCUCCGACACCCCAUUCUCCCCCUGGCUCUCUCCCUCGUCCUCUCCCGUUAUGCCCGAGCGCAGCCGUCGCCGCCGCUUGCCGCUGCCGCGACCACCGCCGUCCCCUUGCCCCAUGACCAUGCCCAGCAGCUCCGAAAUCGAGCACCCCAUCCCCACGCCGAAGGAAACAACCCGGAGGACUCUGCUUCGUCGCCAUCGACCCGUCUUCAACCUCGGGACACCGGAGAUCGUCAUCGCCGUUCCGUCGCCUCUGAGCCGUCCCCGAGCGCGCUGAGCCUCCCUACGACAUCACCGUGAGCCCCUGAGUUUUUCCCCUCACCUCCCCCUCUCGCUAGCUUCCUCUAGCCACCGCCCCACGAGCUCCCGAGGCCGCCGUCCGCCAUGGCCGACCUCCUGCUCACCGCUGAGCUUACCACGCCCAGCUGUGCUAUCCACCGUGCUCCCUGGGCCCCCUAGAUGCGGCCUAGCUACCUGGUUCCCUCGAGGGCGAGCCAUAGCCCUGCGCCCGUGCACCACCGAGCUCCGGCCACCACACUUGUCGCCAUUGCUGACGCAGUGCUGACGCAGUAAAUUCUUUUCUGGAUUUAUUUUUAUAUAGGAAAUUCCAGAAAAUGCCUAAAACUUCCAAAAUUCAUAGAAAAUUAACCGUAACUCCAAAUUAAAUAAUUUAUAUAUGAAAAAUUAUCAGAAAAAUUCAAGGAAUCCAUCUGUACCAUUUUCAUGCAUGUUAGAACAACUUAUCACUACUGUUUAGAGCAAAUGAAGUGAAUGACAUUUAAAUAAUCACAUAUGGAGUUUGAAUUUGAAUCUUGUAUUCAAACCAACUUCAUUUAAUCUGUUGCUAGUUGCAUUAGCUCAAAACACAUUCAUAUUGCCAUGUCAUGAGCAUGCAUCAUAUUGUGCAUUGCAUUGAUUGUAUUUCUUCUUUGUUGCCGGUAUUUGUCCCCUCUCGAUAGACGUGAUACCGAUGAUGUGAUCGUUGACACUGAUGAAGACUCAAUGUUAUCUUCAGAAGUGCCUGGCAAGCAAAACCCCCCCUUGUUCAUUCCGAUAAAAUCCCACUCUCUCGCUCCUGCUCUCUUUUACUGCAUUAGGACAACAUCGAUUCAUCUGUUACUUGCUGCGGUAGCUGAACCCCUUUAUCCUUUACAUGACCUGUCAUUCCACAGUAAAUAGAUGAAACCCACUAGCAUGAGUAGGAGUUGUUUGAGCCCUGUUGUGCCUACUCAUUCAUGUUUGUUUGUCAUGCCUGCUACUGCUUAGAGUUGAGUCAGGUCUGAUUCAUCGGGGAUGAAUCAGAGGUGUGUGAACAUGUCCUAUUGUGUGUGAGCUAAGUGUGUGAACACGAUUUGGUAAAGGUAGCGGUGAGAGGCCAUGUAGGAGUACAUGGUGGGUUGUCUCAUUGCAGCCGUCCUCAGGAACUGAGUUCUGUGUUUGUGAUCCAUGAUUCAGCUACUACCACGCAUUGGGCCCGAAACCAAUGGACCCUCUCGGCUUCUUAAUCACCCUUGUCCUCUGUCCAGGAGUUGCAAGUAGUUUCUGGUGUUUGCAGUAUGCUGGAGGCCGUGGACAGCGCUGACCGUAGGGGUGGGCUGUGAUGCGGUAGGCACGUGGCCGGGUAAACCGGGCACCCGUUUGGUGUCACGGAACCCUGUACACAUCGUUUGGGGCUGUGAGCGAAACUCCGGCCGGAUCUCCUCAUGGAUGGAACCCGAAUAGGCGAUAAACCUGGACUAGAGACUUGAGUGUUUAGGCAGGCCGUGGCCGACACCCACGUUGGGCUUCCGCUUGAAGGUUGCCGAGUACAUGUUGUGUAAACGGCGGUAAGUAGUGAGAGCGUGUGUGAAGAAGUACACCCCUGCAGGGUUAACCUAAUCUAUUCGAAUAGCCGUCUCCACGGAAAAGGACUUCUGGGCUGCUUAUAUCAGUUCAUAGACAAGUGAAAGUGGAUACUCUAAAAUACGCAAGAUAAGCGUGAGUGCUAUGGAUGGCGUUCUCGUAGGGGGACGGCAGCGGAUCCAUAGUGGUGUAUUGCUAUGGUGAAUAUGUGGACUCGUGUGCGCCACCUCAAAAGAGUUACAUUGCAGUCGUAGUUUAGGAUAGCCACCGAGUCAAAGCUGGCUUGCUGCAGUUAAACCCCACCAUCCCUUUGUUGAUAAUGAUGCAUAUGUAGUUAGUUCUGAUGUAAGUCUUGCUGGGUACAUUUGUACUCACGUUUGCCUAUUUUAUGUUUUUGCAGACAGACUUCAGUCUCACUAGUAAUUCCGCGUGGUCUUCAACGUUUAGCUUGAUACCUCAGCUACGAUCUUGUGCACUCGGCAGGAUCUGAUAGAUAGUCAGGCUUCUCAGCCUUUUUCAUUUAUAGUUGUCUGUACUCAGACAUGAUAGCUUCCGCUUGUGCUUUGACUUGUAUGCUCUGAGUGUUGGGUCAUGAGACCCAUGUUUGUAAUAUCUCGCUCCUCGGAGCCUAUUGAAUAAACUACUUGAGUCGUAGAGUCAUUUUGUGAUGCCAUGUUGUAUUGCACAUAUCGAGCAUAUUGUGUGUAUGUUAUUGAAAUGCUUGGUAUGUGUGGGAUCUGACCAUCUAGUUGUUUAUCUUUAGUAGCCUCUCCUACGGGGAAAUGUCUCCUAGUGUUUCCACCGAGCCAUGGUAGCUUGCUACUGCUCCGGAACACUUAGGCUGGCCGGCAUGUGUCCUUCUUCGUUCCUGUGUUUGUCCCUUCGGGGAAAUGUCACGCGAUGAAUACCGGAGUCCUGUUAGCCCGCUACAUCCCGGUUCACCGGAGUCCUGCUAGCCCAGUGCUACAGCCUGGUUUCACUCGCUGAUGACCGACACGUUCGAUGCUGCGUCAUGGAUGCCUGUCCCUGUAAGUCUGUGCCACUUUGGGUUUACGACUAGCCAUGUCAGCCCAGGCUCUUUAUCAUAUGGAUGCUAGCGACACUGUCAUAUACGUGUGCCAAAAGGCGCAAACGGUCCCGGGCUAAGGUAAGGCGACACCCGUGGAAUACCGUGCGUGAGGCCGCAAAGUGAUAUGAGGUGUUACAUGCUAGAUCGAUGUGGCAUUGAGUCGGGGUCCUGAAAGAUUUGGUAUCAGAGCUUGACUGCCUGUAGGUUUACCAAGCCAAACUGGUCGAAGUUGAGUCUAGAAAUUCUUUAGUUAUAUAAGGGAAUUGAUUGUGGGAUGGAACGUAAGGCUCUUUUUACUCCUUAUACCUCAUGGCCUUCUGAUCUGAUGCAUCUUAUCUUUCCUACGGGGUUAAGAAACUAGGCUUUCUCUUCUUUCUAUCAGGAUCACGUAUUACUAGUCCGUAGACUUAUAAGAUUGUUGAUUCAAGCCCCAGUUCAGUUCCUACUAUCUUCUGUAUGUUAAUUAUUGAUCUCGAAACCUUGAUAUUGUGCUUCUGAGUGGUUAUGCCACCAUUUUUGUGAAUGUCUCAAAUCUUUUCUGAGCAUUUACAGCCGUUAUGCUGUUCGAGUCAUCCCAGGUUUCUAAGUAGUCUGAUGCAUUUGCAAAUCCUUUCUUUCCGUUUCAAUGUUCCCAUAGGCCAGAUUAACCACACUAAUCAGCGAGUUGAGGUACUCCGUUACCUUGACACAUAUGUUGGAGAUAUUAUUAUGACCCUAGGUGUCUUAGGGGAUCAUCUAGUAUUCUAGCCAUGAUUUUUGUUCCAGUGUGAUGACUCUGGCCGUCAUUAUCGAAAGCAUACCGUGAUGCUACUUAGUAAUAGGUAUUCUGUUCCUGGGUUCUUGAACCCAAGAUUCACUCUACCUACUUCCUGUUGAUAGUAAUUGCUAGUGCCUUUAGGAUAUUAGUAACCUUUGCGAUAGUCCUUGAAGUCCGUGGUAUCUUCUUCUUCCAAAUACCAUGAACUACUUAUGGCAGAAGUUCCUCGUUGAACUGAAAUAUCACAACAGGAUUAUUCUUGAUGAGUUCUCCGUUAUAUAUUGUGACUCUGCCAGUUCUACCUUUCUGCAUGGGUUAUCCGGAAGAAACAUGUUGAACUUGGUUCGACAUACUAAUCUAUGCAUCCACAACUCAGAAAAUUAUAUGUUCCUUUGAGUUGUUCUCUUUAGUCGUCCUCUGACCCUCGUUUAUCAAUUGAUAGUCAAGAGUAUGCGUGCGUUCGUUUAACGAUGCCUAUUACUCUUGUGGUCCAUCAAGCCAUUCUAUCCCAGAAUGACUAGGAGAAACAAACUCCAGUACCUCUUCCAUAUCUAGGAUUGGGUCAAAGCAAUUGUGCUCCGCAGAUCAAAUGCCAGCCCAGCUUUUGAUUCUGUUCUACCCUGAAGUAUUACCGUCUUUAUGUUAGGAUUUUCAUGAGAAUUGCACCGGCUCUUGUGAAUUCUUGAUGUAGUGAUACUUCUCGCCAUUAUUAUUCAUCCCUCGAUUCCGUGUUGUCGCAACCGGAAUGCCGACAAGUGAAUCGUGAUGUGUGAAUUCAAUACUCCUAGCAACCUUGUUGCUUGGUAGUUAAAGGACAAUAAUUUCAUUCUUAGCGUGCUGGUUUUGAAUCAUCAUUCUAAGGUUGAUCAUGCUACCUAGUCCUUGUUCUCGGUGCACUCCUCGAUCGAUGAGUUAGGAUUAUUCAAAUCUUCGCUCUAUUGAUCAUAUCGUCUUGCCUCAAAAGGCAAGAUUGUUCUCGAGCUUAGUAACAUACCGGUGGUUCGUGACUUUCCAAAUAUCUUCUUGGAGGUGUUACCGGGUUGUCACCUGACCGCUAUGUUGAGCUCGUGAUCAAGUUGGUUUCUUGUGAACCACCCUUUCUCCAAGAAUCGGUGUUAGAUAUCCCUGAGCUAGUUGGUUAAGCUAGACAACAACUUGGAGAGUUGGAAGAUAAAAGCUUGUCUGACUUAGUUCGUUCCAAAGGGAUAUUCUUGUGUAGUGUGUGUUGAAGAAAGAUGAUAUCUUCAUCGAUUGGUACUUGUGAUCAAUUGCUGGACCUAUUGUCUUAUCAAUCCUUUGAUUUGAAUGUGGGCUAUCGUCAAAACAAAUCAGUACCAACGAUGCUCGUAAUGUUGUCUUAUUCGUGGUUGAUCCCUCGAGCAUACACCAUUAUAUCUUUUAGGUCUGACCAAUGCUAUCACUUGUUCACUUAACUAUGCAAUUCCUUUUGAAAGGAAACCCAGAAGAAUUGUUGUUGAGCCCAUUGACAACAUCCUUGCCUUCUCCAUAAUUUUGCUGAGCAUUAAGCUAGUGUUGGAAACUUUUGAAAGCAUUUUCUUCAUGCUAGCUCAUGAAGUAUUUGUUUGAUGAAAGGAGUGACUUCCUCUUAUACACGUGCAUUUGGUGAAAGUUGCCGCCGUGAAUUUGAGAAAGUUAGUUUUGCUUCCUCUGGAAUCAUCCCAAGUCAGUCAUGCAUACGUGCGAAGUAUUCUGUGGUCUGGAGAUUUGCAACCUCCAUGCUAUAUGUAUAUCCUAGCACACCAAGCCACUGAUUGAGUUGUUCAAAGAUAAAGGAGUCUGUCCAAGGUGAACUCUUUGGACUUCCACGCGUGGAGACUUCGAUGUCAUUAAUGAUGGUUCCCCCUCCUGAACUCGGUAGUGUUUUAUUAUAAGACUACCUCGUGGUCAUGCUUGUCUGGGACAACGUGUUCACAUGUUUGUAGCAGAACCAGCUCAUGUUUUGGAGCUUACUAUCGUAGUUCAUUCCCCGAGAAUCUCGCAACGUCAUCUCGUCAAUUUGUGUUGCAAACUUUUGUUUUCCUUCACAGACUCGAUGAGUCUGGAAUAUCCUGACACCAACCAGAUCUGAAUCUCAGGCAGAUAUGAUGGUUUGGAACAUUUCCCAAGAACUAUAAUAUUGGUCCCUUGAUAGCCGGUAAAGUGGAUGUCGUGGCCAACACACCCAGCCGGAAGACCUAUUAUUGUAGUAUCUUGAUUGAGGAAGUUGGCCACCUCCCCAUAAGGAUUUCGUAGGAUUUACCUCCCUAGUUGUUCCUUAUGGAUUUUUGUAUUCCCGAAGUCCGACCUUUUACUUGAUGUUCUAGAUAUCAAACCAUAUCUAUGAAUGGGUUACACUAGCACAUCAAGGAGAACAUUAGAAGCGGAGUGCUAAAUGUCUCUCGGUCGAUCGUCCAGAUUUUGUUUCCUUGGCCUCGCUAAGGUGAAAUCUGAGAAAGUGUUAUCUUCCUUUGCAUCUGCGUCAUCCUUCCUCAUUCAUCAUGGUAGUAAGUUGUGUUACCAGAAUCCUUGACACGGAUAUUGGUAAAAUCUUGAUGAAUAUGGAAAUGCUCAAGUUCUUGAGAGCACGCACAAGCGUUAGGUGUUACCGUCGACACUAACUAGGUUUGCUCUCAACUUCCUCGGUUAUGCUAUAACCAUUCCAAUAGUGGAAUAACUCUCUAUUGUUGAGCCUCUCCCCAGUUACCAGAAUCAUUCCCACCAAUUGCAUUUUGUUCCCAGCUUGCACCGCCAAUGUGCCAUUCUACCACGGAUCUCUUCCAUUUCCGGUGGUAAGCAAAUUCAUCCAUUACGUUGUCUUCAACAAGGUAAUCCACAUCAUCCAAGUCCGAGUAUGCCAUUCCACCGACCCCCUCCAAACGAUCGCUCGAGAAUUGUCUUAGGCUGGUUUAAAGAGUUUCAAUCAUCUCUGAAUCAAAAGUAAUUCUUUUUGCCACUUAAGGAAAUAUCUCUACGAGUCACCUUCCCUAAGGUGUAUCGUUAUGGUAUUAUGGCAACUCAACUCCUCGCUACGUGGACAAUCGUUUACCACCUUCUUAAGUGUGGAAUUAUUGUCUACCUAGUGAACCUUCGUCAUCCAUUUCUUUCCACCCCUCUUGAUGUGUAUCUUGUGUCUCAAACCGAGAGAUGGUCCUAUGUCUCAUUCCGUGAGUUGUUCGAUCUUCGAGAAGAUCGACCUUUCUAGAGUCUCCUUCUUCCCUCCAUGUCAUGUUGGUAGGAUUUCUCAGAGCAAGACAUCAAGACAAUGAUGGUGAAUGAAUCAACGUUCAACUGAAGAGCACCCUGGAUCGUGAAGAUUAUACUAGUUGCGUUUCCCCUUCACCUUACCCUACGCUAGAAUCUCGAGACGAGAUUCUUGUUUAGUGGGGGUGAGUUGUCACAUCCCUAACUUCUGGUAAUGCUCUAGGCUAGCUUCAUGUGUGCAUCAUGUCUAUAUUUUUGAAACUUGAAUUGAGGAAUAUUGGAAGCCUCAAAACCCUAAAUAAAAGAGGGGCAAAAACCCUAGAAAUCUCAUUCAUUGCUCCAAAAGGCUCUUCUUAAAUGUUUGAUAAUUUUUGGUAAGGGUUUUGGUCCCAACCAAAAUAUUGAACAUUUUUGAGGAAUUAUUUUUUGGGAUUUUGGAUUUAAUUCAUUAGCUAUUUGAAUUUGAAUUAUAUUCAUAUAAUUAGAAUAUAAUUUCAAAUACCCCCUGAAAUAUUUUAUAAGCUUUUGGAACAGUCCAUCUAGCAAUAUAAAAUAUUCAGAGGAGCUUUGGCAUUGUUUGAAUUAUUAUUUUAAUUCAAAACAGUGGCAAAAUAAAUUAAAUAAAACAAACAGAACAAAAAAAAUAAAAAAAAGAGCAAACUACCUGGCCACUUACCUGGCGCAGCCCACCUGGCAGCCCACUGGCCGGCCCAGCACUGUGCUGGCCCGUGCCAGCCACCUGCUUCCUCUCGCCAGGCAGGCAGAGAGGAGCGCGCCCGCGCACGCCGAGCUCGCCAUGCAGCUCCCUGGCCGCCUGCCUCGCCUGGACAGCGUGGCGACGCCUCGAAGCCACUCCUCGGCACUGCCCCGACCCCUCCGACACCCCAUUCUCCCCCUGGCUCUCUCCCUCGUCCUCUCCCGUUAUGCCCGAGCGCAGCCGUCGCCGCCGCUUGCCGCUGCCGCGACCACCGCCGUCCCCUCGCCCCAUGACCAUGCCCAGCAGCUCCGAAAUCGAGCACCCCAUCCCCACGCCGAAGGAAACAACCCGGAGGACUCUGCUUCGUCGCCAUCGACCCGUCUUCAACCUCGGGACACCGGAGAUCGUCAUCGCCGUUCCGUCGCCUCUGAGCCGUCCCCGAGCGCGCUGAGCCUCCCUACGACAUCACCGUGAGCCCCUGAGUUUUUCCCCUCACCUCCCCCUCUCGCUAGCUUCCUCUAGCCACCGCCCCACGAGCUCCCGAGGCCGCCGUCCGCCAUGGCCGACCUCCUGCUCACCGCUGAGCUUACCACGCCCAGCUGUGCUAUCCACCGUGCUCCCUGGGCCCCCUAGAUGCGGCCUAGAUACCUGGUUCCCUCGAGGGCGAGCCAUAGCCCUGCGCCCGUGCACCACCGAGCUCCGGCCACCACACUUGUCGCCAUUGCCGUCGCUACGGGCCGCCAUAGCCACUGCUGCUUGCACUGCUCGAUGCGGACGAGCACGGGCAACGCGUAGAUGCCCUCCGCCACGCUUUUGGUGGCCGGAGGAGCGAUUCCGAAGCCCUCCGCCAUGCCUGUUGCCGCCGGCGUUGAGCCGCCGGCCUGUUUGGGCCAUUUGACCGGGGUUUGACCUCCCCCUGUGUCACUGACAUGCGGGACCAGCCGCCUAAUUAAUCUAGGUUAGUUUAAGUUAAAACGCUAACUAACCCAGUUAGUUAGGUUAGUCACUGACACUCAGGACCCACUGGUCAGUUUGACCUGGGCUGCCCGUUGACUCGCUUACGUCAUGCUGACGUAGUGCUGACGCAGUAAAUUCUUUUCUGGAUUUAUUUUUAUAUAGGAAAUUCCAGAAAAUGCCUAAAACUUCCAAAAUUCAUAGAAAAUUAACCGUAACUCCAAAUUAAAUAAUUUAUAUAUGAAAAAUUAUCAGAAAAAUUCAAGGAAUCCAUCUGUACCAUUUUCAUGCAUGUUAGAACAACUUAUCACUACUGUUUAGAGCAAAUGAAGUGAAUGACAUUUAAAUAAUCACAUAUGGAGUUUGAAUUUGAAUCUUGUAUUCAAACCAACUUCAUUUAAUCUGUUGCUAGUUGCAUUAGCUCAAAACACAUUCAUAUUGCCAUGUCAUGAGCAUGCAUCAUAUUGUGCAUUGCAUUGAUUGUAUUUCUUCUUUGUUGCCGGUAUAUGUCCCCUCUCGAUAGACGUGAUACCGAUGAUGUGAUCGUUGACACUGAUGAAGACUCAAUGUUAUCUUCAGAAGUGCCAGGCAAGCAAAACCCCCCCUUGUUCAUUCCGAUAAAAUCCCACUCUCUCGCUCCUGCUCUCUUUUACUGCAUUAGGACAACAUCGAUUCAUCUGUUACUUGCUGCGGUAGCUGAACCCCUUUAUCCUUUACAUGACCUGUCAUUCCACAGUAAAUAGAUGAAACCCACUAGCAUGAGUAGGAGUUGUUUGAGCCCUGUUGUGCCUACUCAUUCAUGUUUGUUUGUCAUGCCUGCUACUGCUUAGAGUUGAGUCAGGUCUGAUUCAUCGGGGAUGAAUCAGAGGUGUGUGAACAUGUCCUACUGUGUGUGAGCUAAGUGUGUGAACACGAUUUGGUAAAGGUAGCGGUGAGAGGCCAUGUAGGAGUACAUGGUGGGUUGUCUCAUUGCAGCCGUCCACAGGAACUGAGUUCUGUGUUUGUGAUCCAUGAUUCAGCUACUACCACGCAUUGGGCCCGAAACCAAUGGACCCUCUCGGCUUCUUAAUCACCCUUGUCCUCUGUCCAGGAGUUGCAAGUAGUUUCUGGUGUUUGUAGUAUGCUAGAGGCCGUGGACAGCGCUGACCGUAGGGGUGGGCUGCGAUGCGGUAGGCACGUGGCCGGGUAAACCGGGCACCCGUUUGGUGUCACGGAACCCUGUACACAUCGUUUGGGGCUGUGAGCGAAACUCCGGCCGGAUCUCCUCAUGGAUGGAACCCGAAUAGGCGAUAAACCUGGACUAGAGACUUGAGUGUUUAGGCAGGCCGUGGCUGACACCCACGUUGGGCUUCCGCUUGAAGGUUGCCGAGUACAUGUCGUGUAAACGGCGGUAAGUGGUGAGAGCGUGUGUGAAGAAGUACACCCCUGCAGGGUUAACCUAAUCUAUUCGAAUAGCCGUGUCCACGGAAAAGGACUUCUGGGCUGCUUAUAUCAGUUCAUAGACAAGUGAAAGUGGAUACUCUAAAAUACGCAAGAUAAGCGUGAGUGCUAUGGAUGGCGUUCUCGUAGGGGGACGGGAGCGGAUCCAUAGUGGUGUAUUGCUAUGGUGAAUAUGUGGACUCGUGUGCGCCACCUCAAAAGAGUUACAUUGCAGUCGUAGUUUAGGAUAGCCACCGAGUCAAAGCUGGCUUGCUGCAGUUAAACCCCACCAUCCCUUUGUUGAUAAUGAUGCAUAUGUAGUUAGUUCUGAUGUAAGUCUUGCUGGGUACAUUUGUACUCACGUUUGCCUAUUUUAUGUUUUUGCAGAGAGACUUCAGUCUCACUAGUAAUUCCGCGUGGUCUUCGAUGUUUAGCUUGAUACCUCAGCUACGAUCUUGUGCACUCGGCAGGAUCCGAUAGAUAGUCAGGCUUCUCAGCCUUUUUCAUUUAUAGUUGUCUGUACUCAGACAUGAUAGCUUCCGCUUGUGCUUUGACUUGUAUGCUCUGAGUGUUGGGUCAUGAGACCCAUGUUUGUAAUAUCUCGCUCCUCGGAGCCUAUUGAAUAAACUACUUGAGUUGUAGAGUCAUUGUGUGAUGCCAUGUUGUAUUGCACAUAUCGAGCAUAUUGUGUGUAUGUUAUUGAAAUGCUUGGUAUGUGUGGGAUCUGACCAUCUAGUUGUUUAUCUUUAGUAGCCUCUCCUACGGGGAAAUGUCUCCUAGUGUUUCCACCGAGCCAUGGUAGCUUGCUACUGCUCCGGAACACUUAGGCUGGUGAUGGGGUUAUGUACCUAGGGUAGGGUCACGGACCUGUCCCAAGUAACUUACCCUAGGACAUCCCUAGAAGAGGUCGCCUUCCAGUCGACCAACGAGGGUUCACUCGACCAACGAGGACACACUCGACUGGCCUGAAGGACUCGACCACGAAGACGCACUCGACCACCAGGAGGUCAAGAGGCACUCUGCACCGCAACGGCCUGUAAUUAAGUAGACUUUAUGAUAGUAAAGGCACUUUAUGUGGGGCGUUACCAGUAACGCCCCAGACUUAACUCACCUUAAACCUUCUCCUACGUGGGCUGGCUGGGGUCCUGGCACACUCUAUAUAAGCCACCCCCCUCCACAGGCAGAAGGGUUCGGCACCUUGUAAUCCAUACAUUCAUAAUCCACUCGACCGCCUCUGGGCUCCGAGACGUAGGGCUGUUACUUCCUCCGAGAAGGGCCUGAACUCGUACAUCCUUUGUGCUUACAACCUCUCCAUAGCUAGGACCUUGCCUCUCAAUACCUACCCCCCACUCUACUGUCAGGCUUAGAACCACGACAGUUGGCGCCCACCGUGGGGCAGGUGUUUUAGCGAUUUUGUGGAGAAGUUGCGAUUCUUCCGAGUAUUUUCAUCAUGGUGUCUGCUGGAGUUUUGAUCGAGGGUCAAGAGAUCCGUCUCGGCACUCUCACCUUCAUCGCCGACGACUCCGCAUGGCUCCAAGAGGCUCCGCUCGACGUUGAUGCGCUCCCCGUCCGCGGUGCGACGCAUUUCCGCGCAUGUGUCCGCGGCGUUCUGUUGCGGCAACCGUCGACCCAGUAUCGGUCAGUUCCUUCCACCCUCCCGGUCUCCCGCCAGCGCAAGCGCUCAGGUCGGUCGAGGCUUCAGCGAUGGGUGAGUCGCGCGGUGGCUCGCCAGUCGACCACUACGCAAGUUGCGGCAAUCGAGCCCAACGAAUCUCUCUACGGCUUGUUCGAUCAGUCGACUGGCUCCGGAGAGACUGCAUCCGAAUGCGGAAGCAGUGAUCCAGCGGCGGAAAUCCUGAUGGUCAACGGGCCUCAUAGCCCUCCCGGCUUCGCCCGCGGUGGUGGAGCAGGCGACGGCGGCGACCCUGCUCGAGGUUACGAAGAGUACCAGCCCGAGCCACUCGACUCUCUGCAAAGAGAAGAGCUUCGCCGCAGGAAUGAGGAUCCCCUGCGUAUUCCUAUCGCAGGAGAAACCCCCGAGGCUCGCGCCUUGGAGGAGGCGCGCCUGGCCAAUUUGGCCGAGCGCACUCGACUGGAGAACCUUCAGCGAGCACUCGACGAGCGCGCGCGGCAACGAGUUCCCGACACCAGUCGACGUCAACUCUUCCCGCCGACUCAGGUAUAUCGAACCCCGAUUCAGAAUUUAGCAGCAGCGACCCGUAUAGCAGAGUCCAUUCAGCCUUCGCAGUCAGAAGCUGGCAGAGGUUUGCUGCAGAUCAGAGAUCUGCUCCGGGCAGCAGGAGAUCAGAAUUCAGCCGUGUCUCAGUCGCGCAACAGGAUUCACAGUCGAUCUGUCACUGUGAAUACGGUACAGUCGGCUCACAGCCCCAGAUCGCCUCCGCGGCGCGAAGGGUAUGAGCAUCGGCGAGAUCAAUAUGGCGACAGGCUCGACCGAGAUGAUAGGCGUCGAGUGCCUUAUUCCCCUCCGAGGGGUGGGUCUUACGCUCCUCGGCAGCCAGAUGAUAGGCGUCAGUACAGUACAGGGCGUAGAGUUCCAGUUGACCCCAGGGAGCCAGGCUUCGACGCGCGAUCCAUUAUCGUGCAAGGGUUGGUCGACCGGAACAGAGCCCAUCGUGGUGCACUCGACAGAGAAGUGCCCACGAGCAGUCGAGUACAUGUUUCUGGCCCUGAAUGUUUCAGCAGAGCUAUCAGAGCCGCUGAUAUUCCCCCCAAUUUCAGGUUGGCGACAGGAGUCAGCAAGUUCACUGGUGAGUCUAAGCCUGAAACUUGGCUUGAAGACUACCGAGUGGCAGUUCAGAUCGGUGGUGGGAACGACGAGGUGGCCAUGAAGCAUUUGCCCCUCAUGUUGGAAGGUUCUGCCAGGGCAUGGUUGACCCAAUUACCUCCUAGCAGUAUCUACACUUGGGAAGAUCUGUCCCGAGUGUUCGUCAGAACGUUCGAAGGGACUUGCAAGCGACCAGCGGGAUUGACAGAGUUGCAAGUCUGCGUGCAGAAAACCAAUGAGACUCUCAGAGAGUAUAUUCAGAGGUGGAUCACUUUGCAUCACACAGUGGAAAAUGUCUCUGAUCAUCAGGCAGUGUGCGCCUUCAAAGAUGGCGUCAAGAACAGAGAACUCAGCUUGAAAUUUGGUCGAACCGGUGACAUGACCUUGAGUCGUAUGAUGGAGAUUGCUACCAAGUACGCCAACGGCGAAGAAGAAGACCGACUUCGAAGCAGCAAGCACAAGCCGAGCCAGUCGGAAAAAGGGAAUUCCAGUCGGAAACAGAAGCGGAAGGCUGAACCGGCAGCUCCUGGAGAGGCUCUGGCCGUGACUCAAGGAAAGUCUAAGGGGAAACCAAAAGGAUCCUGGAACCCCAAGAAGGUGAAGGAUAAAGAAGGGAACGACGUGAUGGAUAUGCCGUGUCAUAUUCACACGAAGAAAGAUGAAGAGGGCAAUAUCAUUUACCCAAAGCACACCACUCGCCAAUGUCGACUCCUGAUCCAGCAGUUUCAGGGAAAACAGUCUAAGGACAAGGAGAAGGAGUCGGACAAAGCCGAAGACAAAGAGGACAGUGAGGGAGGAUACCCGCAUAUCAACUCCACUCUGAUGAUCUUCGCAGAUGUGGAAAGCAGAAGUCGACUGAAAGUAAUUAACCGAGAGGUUAACAUGGUUGCUCCAGCGAAGGCAAAUUAUCUGAAGUGGUCUCAAACACCCAUCACAUUCGACCAAUCUGAUCACCCGACUCAUAUUGCCACCCCUGGGAGGCAAGCGUUGGUUGUCGAUCCAGUUGUCGAAGGCACUCGACUGACAAAGGUGCUGAUGGACGGUGGAAGUGGGCUGAAUCUGUUAUAUGCAGACACGCUGAAAGGUAUGGGCAUUCCGAUGUCCCGAUUGAGCACGAGUAAUAUGAGCUUCCAUGGAGUUAUACCAGGGAAGAAGGCUGAAUCUCUCGGCCAGAUAGCUUUGGACGUAGUAUUUGGCGAUUCAAAGCAUUUCCGCAAAGAAAAGUUGACGUUUGAGGUCGUGGAUUUUCAAAGUGCAUAUCAUGCCAUUUUGGGGAGGCCAGCCUAUGCACGAUUCAUGGCUCGACCAUGUUACGUGUACCUCAAAUUGAAGAUGCCCGGUCCCAAAGGUGUGAUCACUGUCACCGGAGAUAGGAAAAAGGCAGAGGAGUGCUUUCAGAAGGGCUCCAAAAUUGCCGAUUCCCAAGUGACAGCGGUCGAGUUCGAAGAGUACAAGCAAAACGCAGAUCCGAGUGACUUGUUGCGAUCCAAGAAGCCCGCCACAGAAUCUGCAUUCCAGUCGUCCGGUGAGACGAAGCCUGUUCACAUCCACCCGACCGACCCCGAAGCAGCUCCGACCCGCAUCUCCACAACACUCGACCCAAAAUAGGAAGAAGCGCUCAUCCAGUUCCUCCGUGAGAACUGGGACAUUUUUGCAUGGAAGCCCGCUGACAUGCCAGGUGUUCCCAGGGGACUGGCUGAGCAUCGCCUAAGAGUCGACAAGUCUGCAAAGCCAGUAAAAGAACAUCUUCGGCGGUCCGCCGUCCAGAAGAGAAAGGCCAUCGGUGAAGAAGUGGCUCGACUAUUGGCGGCAGGAUUUAUCCGAGAGAUAUUCCACUCCGAGUGGCUCGCUAACGUCGUCAUGGUUCCUAAGAAGGACAAGUCGCUCCGAAUGUGCAUUGAUUUCAAGCACAUAAACCGGUCCUGCCCGAAAGAUCACUUUCCUCUCCCUCGCAUAGAUCAAAUUGUUGACUCGACCGCGGGAUGCGAGAGGUUGUCUUUUUUAGAUGCUUACUCCGGGUACCACCAGAUCCGUCUGUAUGGACCCGAUGAAGUAAAAACAGCUUUCAUCACUCCAUUCGGGUGCUUCUGCUAUAUCACCAUGCCGUUCGGCCUCAAGAAUGCCGGAGCCACGUUUAUGCGAAUGAUUCAGAAGUGUCUGCUCACUCAAAUCAAUCGGAAUGUGGAAGCUUAUAUGGAUGAUAUUGUUGUCAAGUCACGAAAAGGUUCCGACCUGCUCGCUGACCUUGCCGAAACAUUUGCCAACCUCAGAAGGUAUGAUAUCAAGCUCAAUCCGUCAAAGUGCACAUUUGGAGUUCCUGGUGGCAAGUUACUCGGUUUUCUCGUUUCCGAACGGGGAAUCGACGCCAACCCAGAAAAGAUUGGCACUAUUCUCCGAAUGAAACGCCCUGUGCGAGUGCACGAUGUCCAGAAGCUUACUGGAUGCUUGGACUCCAGAAGCUGAUGCAGCGUUUGCCGAGCUAAAAGCUCUGCUCUCCACCCAGCCGGUGCUUGCUGCUCCAAUCAGCAAACAGCCUCUGUUGCUCUACAUCGCAGCCACAGGACAAGUCGUCAGUACUGUGCUAACGGUCGAGCGGGAAGAAGAAGGAAAAGCUCUCAAAGUUCAGCGUCCAGUGUAUUAUUUGUCUGAAGUCUUGACUCCAUCCAAGCAGAGAUAUCCUCAUUAUCAGAAGCUUGUGUAUGGAAUAUACAUGACCACGAAGAAGGUUGCUCAUUAUUUCUCUGACCAUUCAAUCACAGUCGUCAGCGACGCUCCACUAUCAGAGAUUUUGCACAACAGAGAUGCAACUGGUCGAGUGGCCAAAUGGGCGAUUGAACUUCUUCCCCUUGAUAUCAAGUUUGAGGCAAAGAAAGCCAUUAAGUCCCAGGCAAUAGCAGAUUUCCUAGCCGAGUGGGUCGAACAGCAACAGCCGACUGAAGUUCACUCGGAGCAUUGGACCAUGUUUUUCGAUGGCUCUAAGAUGUUGAAUGGUUCCGGUGCUGGGGUUGUCCUGGUUUCCCCCAGAGGAGAUAAGCUCAGAUAUGUGCUCCAGAUUCACUUUGAUUCCUCCAACAAUGAGGCAGAAUAUGAGGCCCUCCUAUAUGGGUUGCGCAUGGCCAUUUCACUCGGCGUCCGUCGCCUAAUGGUUUAUGGCGACUCAGAUUUAGUGGUCAACCAAGUGAUGAAAGAGUGGGACGUAAGAAGCCCAGCCAUGACUGGAUACUGCAGUGCAGUGAGGAAGCUGGAGAAAAAGUUCGAGGGGUUGGAGCUCCAUCAUAUACCCCGACUGAAGAAUCAAGCAGCUGAUGAUCUAGCAAAGAUAGGUUCCAAGAGAGAAGCCAUUCCGAGUGGUGUGUUCUUGGAGCAUAUACACACUCCAUCAGUCAAAGAAGAUCCUUUUACCGAAGAAACUCCGCAGCCCAAGAGUGCCACAGAUCCGACUGAAGUUGAAGUCCCAGCGGUGGUCGACUUGAUCAUGGAGGUUUUGGUAGUCAUUCCCGACUGGACGAUUCCAUAUGUUGCAUAUAUCUUGAGGAAAGAACUUCCGGAGGACGAGGAAGAGGCUCGACAGAUCGUCCGUCGAUCUAAGGCCUUUACCGUCAUCAAAGGACAAUUAUACAGAGAAAGCGCGACUGGAGUCGGACAGAAGUGCAUUACGCCAGAAGAAGGUCGACUCAUCCUCAACGAUAUUCACUCGGGAACCUGUGGUCAUCAUGCGUCCUCUCGAACCAUCGUGGCCAAAGCAUACCGAGCCGGAUUUUACUGGCCCAAGGCGAAUGAGAUGGCAAAGGAGAUAGUAGAUAAGUGCGAAGGAUGUCAGUUCUACUCGAAUAUGUCGCACAAGCCUGCGUCAGCUUUGAAGACCAUCCCACUCGUCUGGCCUUUUGCAGUUUGGGGGCUGGACAUGAUCGGUCCUUUGAGAACAGGACGAAGUGGCUUCACGCAUGUACUGGUGGCAGUCGACAAGUUCACCAAGUGGAUCGAAGCUAAACCGAUCAAGAGCCUCGACACCGGUACCGCUGUUAGCUUCAUCCGGGAACUGGUAUUCAGAUAUGGAGUCCCGCACAGCAUCAUCACGGAUAAUGGGUCGAACUUUGACUCAGAGGAAUUCAGAACCUUCUGCAACUCCCAAGGCACGCGGGUCGACUACGCGUCGGUCGCCCAUCCGCAGUCGAAUGGACAAGCAGAGCGAGCUAAUGGACUGAUUCUCAAGGGGCUGAAACCGCGACUGAUGCGUGAUCUGGGGACUUGGGUCGAUGAACUUCCAUCUGUGCUCUGGGGACUGCGGACCACGCCCAAUCGGUCGACCGGAAGAACUCCAUUCUUCUUGGUCUACGGAGCCGAAGCAGUCUUGCCAAGUGAUCUUCUCCACAAUGCUCCUCGAGUCGAAACCUACGACGAAGCAGAAGCUGAACAAGCGCGGCAGGACGCAGUCGACCUUUUAGAGGAAGAAAGGGAGAUGGCUCUGAUCCGGUCGACCAUCUACCAACAAGAUCUGCGCCGUUUCCACGCUCGAAAUGUGAGAGGUCGAGCCUUCCAGGAAGGGGAUCUGGUUCUCCGAGUGGAUCAGCACAAACCACAUAAGCUUGCUCCUUCUUGGGAAGGCCCUUUCAUCGUCACCAAGGUUCUCCACAACGGGGCAUACCGUCUUUACAACGUCGAGCAUAAUAUCGACGAGCCCCGAGCUUGGAACGCGGAGCUACUCCGCCCGUUUUACACUUAAGUUGUAUCACUCGGAUGAGUCGCAAUAAAGAGCUUCUGUAAUUCAUGGGUUUAGAAAUAAUUGUGUCAGCACUUUUUCUUUUUGUCCACAUAAAAACUCCCCCUCAGUGGGUGGCUUAGCUGCGAAUCCGUUUCGCCUAAGUUUGGAAAAAUCCUGUCGAGUGGUGAGCCAGACUCUCACUCGGAGGCUUAGCUGCGAAUCCGUUUCGCCUAAGUUAUAAAAAUCCUACCGAGUGGUGAGCAAUCCUCACACUCGGGGGCUUAGCUGCAGCCUCGUGCUCGCCUAAGUUAUCAAAAUCCUGUCGAGUGGUGAGCAAUCCUCUCACUCGGAGGCUUAGCUGCAGUCCAAGCACUCGCCUAAGUUAUAAAAAUCCUACCGAGUGGUGAGCAAUCCUCUCACUCGGAGGCUUAGCUGCAGUCCAAGCACUCGCCUAAGUUAUAAAAAUCCUACCNNNNNNNNNNUGAAGAAUCAAGCAGCUGAUGAUCUAGCAAAGAUAGGUUCCAAGAGAGAAGCCAUUCCGAGUGGUGUGUUCUUGGAGCAUAUACACACUCCAUCAGUCAAAGAAGAUCCUUUUACCGAAGAAACUCAGCUUAGCUGCAGUCCAAGCACUCGCCUAAGUUAUAAAAAUCCUACCGAGUGGUGAGCAAUCCUCUCACUCGGAGGCUUAGCUGCAGUCCAAGCACUCGCCUAAGUUAUAAAAAUCCUACCGAGUGGUGAGCAAUCCUCUCACUCGGAGGCUUAGCUGCAGUCCAAGCACUCGCCUAAGUUAUAAAAAUCCUACCGAGUGGUGAGCAAUCCUCACACUCGGGGGCUUAGCUNNNNNNNNNNAGUUAUAAAAAUCCUACCGAGUGGUGAGCAAUCCUCCCACUCGGGGGCUUAGCUGCAGUCCAAGCACUCGCCUAAGUUUAUCAAAAUCCUACCGAGUGGUAAGCCAGCCUUCCACUCGGAGGCUUAGCUGCGAAUCCGUUUCGCCUAAGUUAUAAAAAUCCUACCGAGUGGUGAGCAAUCCUUUCACUCGGAGGCUUAGCUGCAGCCUCGUGCUCGCCUAAGUUAUAAAAAUCCUACCGAGUGGUGAGCAAUCCCCCCACUCGGGGGCUUAGCUGCAGUCCAAGCACUCGCCUAAGUUUAUCAAAAUCCUACCGAGUGGUAAGCCAGCCUUCCACUCGGAGGCUUAGCUGCGAAUCCGUUUCGCCUAAGUUAUAAAAACCCUACCGAGUGAAGUGCGAUCCUCACGCUCGAAGGCUUAGCUGCAGUCCAAGCGCUCGCCUAAACACAGGCACCUUGCUUUGAACCUGCAAAGGACAUUUUGAGCCGAAGGCAACCAUAUUCAAGCGCCAAAUUCAAGUUCUAAAGGAACCAAAAGUGCUCAGGCGUCAAGCCUGUUAAAGUUUGUCGGAUACAAUUCCACUCGGCAUACCGAGGCAAAUUUAAAAGAGUCGAGCCAUAAGAAGUUUUUUACCCCUCCUGUGGAGGGCUGGAAGGUGCGACGAAUUCAUCAAGGUCAAUCCCGUCGGCGAUCCGAGUGGCAGCUGCAAGGAAAGUCUCCAUGAAGGACCUGAAGUCGUGCUUCUUGGUAUUGGCCACCCGAAGAGCCGCCAGCUUCUCCUCUCGUGCAUCUUUACAGUGGACUCGGGCCAGACAUAGAGCAACAUCUGCACCACACCGAGCUGAGGACUUCUUCCAUUCCUGCACUCGACCAGGGAUCGUGUUCAAGCGGGCCAUUAAUGACUCAAGGUCAUUUUGAAGUGUCUCCUCAGGCCAGAGCGUCGAGUCGAUGCGAGAUGUGGCGGCCUUCAGCCUGGCGAGAUAAUCCACGACGGAUGCAACGCGAGAUUCCAGUCGGAAGAUAUCCAUGGCAACCUCGUCAUUUACCGGAGAAUUGACAGGGUCAAGGUUUGGUUCCAGUCGGCUGGUUUCUUCUUCAAAGUUUUGACAAAAUUCUGCAAGAGUGAUCACUAAGUCAAGGGGAUAGUCGAGUGGAAGAAACCACAGUCAGAAAUAUUUGCCAAACAUGGGGGUUUACCUUCGAGCAUAAGAAACAGCUUCUUGGCAAAGCCACUCAGGAAGGCCUCCAGCGCAGUCUUCUUCUCAGUCAAUUUGCUGACUUGAUCGGUCAAGGCAGCUUUGUCGGUUCUCAGUCGACUGACUUCUUUGUUGGCAAUCCCAAGAGCAGUUUUCAGGUUGGUAUUGUCCUGUUCAAGCUUGGUGACUGAAGCUAACUUCUCGUCAGCAAGCUUGAUCUUCUCAGCUAGCUCAAGGUCUUUCUUCUGCUGGGCCUCCUUUACCUUACCUGCAAGACACAGCAUGAUCAGAUGUUGAAACAAGCAAGAGGAAAAGCAGUUGUCAAGGUCUCACCAAACAUACCUUCAGUCUCCUCCUUCGCCUUUGUCAGCUUCUCCUGAACCAGCUUCAAGCUCAGCUCGACUUGAGUGUGUUUCUGUUCUAGCUCUGAGUAGCGAGCCACAAGAUCACAGGAGUUCUGCGAAGAACCAAUCGACCAAACGUCAAAAAUAAUUCACUUCCGAGUGAAAAAGGGAAAAACACACGUUUCUAAGACUACAGCCGAAUACAACUAUUCGACCGUAGUCUCGGGGACUACACCCAGUGGGUGCACUCAGCGUGCCCCCACUAAUCCUGUCGAAGACAAAGUCGACCAGUCGACCUCAAAAAAAAC
rnacentral:lncRNA from 1 species